CAGCAUUUACUGUAGUCUAUAGAUCUUAUAGGUUAACUAAUUCAUUUGACAUAUUAUUUUUAUAUUCACUAUUAUCUUAUUAUUAAAAGAGAAACAAUCUUUAAAACUAGGAUUUUAUUUAUACUCAUGUCAUUUGCUCACGUUUAGUUUCCUCAUGUUUCCCCAACCUUCAAUCAUAACUACUCUUUCUACACUAAGGAGGUGUUAAUGGGGGUAAGAUUUAUAUAUAAUUUGUUGAUUUUAAAAGCUAAGAGAUUUGUUGAAUUUGGAAAUAGUUGGAGAAAAAUUUGAGUGAUCCACUGAGAAUAGUAUUGGAGUUAACGAAUAGUGACCAACGUGAAGAGGUUACUCCUUUUUUUUUUUUUUUUUUUAAUUGGGUAUAUAUGCAUGAGGCUGAGUAAUUUUUGUGGUCUAUGAAUUUGUUGCUGUAGAUUAUCCAAAGAAGCUAAGAAGGAUGAAGCAGUUAGACAUGCUCUCUCAGUUCGUGCAGCUGUUACAUAAGGAAAUUAUGUUCCGUUCUUCAGACUUUACAAGACUGCGCCAAACAUGAACAAUUACCUUAUGGUUGACAGGUGAGGUGAGAGACAUAUUACACAUGAAACUUGUUUUGAUAUGUUUGAGCAAUGGAAUAGGAUAAAUGAAGAAAUAAAAAGGAUGGAACGAAAACGUUUUCAUUUUUUAUUUGCAGAUCUCUAUGUGGAGAAGAUGAGUUACAAAGCAGUGAGUCUUAUAUCUCGGAGUUGUGUCCUACAAUCCCAAUUUCAUACUUAGCCCAAGUGUUGGGCUUUACUGGUGCUUCAGGCCAAAGUACUGGUGAAAAGGAAAGCGAUGGUAUGGAAGUGGGUUCUGAAUGGCUAAAAGCCCUUGGUGCUAGCCUCAUAUCUGACAGUAACGGAGAUAUGCUUCUUGAUACCAAGGUAAGUCUUCUUUUGAACUUGCCAUUAAGUUUUUCAUGAGACAAUGGGUUCAUUUUGAUUCAAAGCCAUAUAAACGUUGAGUAUCUUCAUACCCGAACCUGAAGUGCAGUUGCUCAUGGAGAACGAUAUCUAGAUGUCAAUGAUUUUUUUUACUCGUACAUGAUGAAGACAUUAAUGUUUGUGUGCACUCAGGUGGGGAAAAAGGAAUGCAAUAGUGCCAAAAUGAAGUUCAUAACAUGUUGUGAUCUACAGGAGACCAACGUAGACAAGUGAAGCCUCUCUCGCAUCAAUCGUCGUCUUUUGCCACACAUAGUCUCAUGUAUGACACUUUAAGUUUAUAAUUACUUGAUAGAUGUACUAAACGUUCGAAAGAAGAGAACCAAAAUGUGUUUGUAAUUCGUUUUUUUUUUUUUUGUGAAUUUGAAGAUCUUUAUUAUUUCUGAAGAAAUUAAUCCACGAAAUGUAAAUGACAGAACUUUCUACUAUCUUAGUCAUAGCUUGAAAUAGUAUCAGUGAGUGGUCAAGGAUCUAAUGCAUGUAGACUGAUGUUUCAUAUUGGUCAUUUACAAGUCGGUCCAAUAAAAAUCAAAACUUAAAUCUGUAAUAAAUGGCUACAAGACUAGCUAACUACUUCACUUGACCAACUUAAUGAAAAACUUUUAACAAAAUUCCGCAAAAGUCUUCAACUAAAAAAAGUCAUCUGAUCAUAGAAAACUAAAAUGGUAUUUUUAUUGACAUUUACUAUAGUAUUGAUUUUUUUUUUGUGCACCAAUUUUUCAUUAGAAAUUUAAAAGGUCUCAGGCUCAAAGUUCAGCCCGUGGAGGGUCCAUAACAAGAGAGUUUCUGAGAGUGGUUUUUGCCACUAUAGUAUUGAUUUAAAGUGCACUUUUAUAUGUAAAAUCACCAAAAUAUUCCCACCUACUAAAAUUCUCUGGUCCAAGGCGGUGAUAGUGGAUUAACAUAUGUAAGCAUUAAACAUUAUAUUAAGGAAAUGAUUUUACAAUUCCACUCAUAUAUUGACUUUUUUGUCAUUAACUUUUGUUGACUCUUGAUUAUUAAUGCCCACUCUUUUCGUGCCGCCACGAUCAAAGGACGUGAAGAAGAUUCAUGCCCAUUUUAUUUUGGUUAUCAACAAAACUAAGAGCGUAGCCGGCUUUAUAUUAAUGGAACUAGAGCCAUGGAACAUUGUCUUUUCUAUUUAAGUUACUAAUAACUAGUAGUUUUUUUGGGUGUUACAACGAGUCAACGACUAAUUUACAAAGGUUCCAAAGGACGUGAAGAAACCUUUUCGCAGAAAAUUCAUAUGUUUUUUUAGAAUUUCAAAUGUCAUCUCUUUUUUAAGCCACAAAAUAAAAUUUAUCCGCAAAUCUCGCAUGGAUCCAUAUUUGUCUUAAUCUCAUUUUUGUCGUAUUCUAGAUAGAAUAGCACACGACAAGAGUCGAGAGUAUUUGUCAGAUCUUUGUUGUUUUCGUCAGACCCUCAAUGCCUAAUAGAUGAUUGAUCUAUCUUUCCUUCCAACAAGGGCAACACACUUAUCAUGGGCCAUUGGUCACCUACUCACUCUCCUCUCUGUACUGAGGAUCUAAUUGUAGCACCUCCCAUCAAUUACGGUUAUGGUUAGUGGACUUUUCACGUCUGUUCCCUUGGUCUCUAGGUUCCACUUCGUAUGAUGGUCAGUGCAUUAAUUUUUAGAUAUUUGAACAAUUUUGUUUACUCAGUUUGUAAUUUAUUUUUUAUUUUUUUGCUAAGGUUACACGAUAUCUGACAUCAUUAGUUAUAAUUUUUUCAUUACUCCAGUUUAAACAUGUUUAAUUUAAAGUCAUUUUUAAAUAGGUGAAAGAAAAAGUAAAUAUAUUUCGGUAAUAUAAAUAACUAUUUUUUUAAUCUUUCUACAUGCACCACUACAUACUACAAAACGAGAUAUUACCUGAAUAUCCACAUAUAUUUCUAUAACUUUGUGUUCCACAUAUAUGAACAUGUCUAUUGGCCUUAGCUAGUAGUGAAUUUACUACAUCUGUAGCGAUAAACCAAAAGCUAUCAUGCCACCACACGCAUGCAACAAAAAUGAAAAGUAUUAAUGCAAAUAAAUAUAUAGAAAAGAAUAGCAAUAAUAUGUUUAGGAUUUGCAGUGCAUGUAUACAAACAAUGCAUAAACAAAUAGUGUGUUCUCUCCUUCUCCUCCUGUUCAAACAACACUCUAUAGUAACUUAUAUACUCUUCUUCUUCAGAUCAAUCUCUUUCUCUCGUUUCUUCUCCCACCACCAUUCGCGCGAAAACCUUACUCAUUGAGACCCCUUCUAUAUCUCCCAUUCCAUUCACACUAAACUGCACCGUUGACCCCACAACACUAGCCUCUGGACCAUCAUCCACCAUUGCUUCUUUCUCAUCUUUCGUUUGAACCUGAAGCAUGAACUCUAGGUUCCACAACAAGUCUCCCAUUGUUGGUCUCUCAACUCCAUUUUGAGCCAAACACUUCUCUGUCAACUCACAGUACUUCUUCACCUCCUCAAGCUUCACAUUCCCAUCAAGAAAAGGGUCUAUGAUCUCUUCCAUCUUCCCUUUCUUCACCAACUUCAUCGCCCAUUCGAUCAAAUUCACUUUCUCUCUCGGAAGAGAUGGAUCAAUGACCGGUCUCCCGCAUAGUACUUCAAGCAUUACCACACCGAAAGAGUAAACAUCUGACUUCUCAGUCAACUGCUGUCUUGUCAAGUACUCUGGAUCAAGAUAACCAAAGCUUCCUUUAACCGCGGUACUCACAUGAGUCUGGUCCAGAUCAGGACCAGUCUUAGACAAUCCAAAAUCCGCAACUUUGGCCAUGAAAUUAUCAUCUAAUAAAAUAUUAGCCGACUUCACAUCGCGGUGUAUGACCGCUCUUGUUGAGCCUGUGUGGAGAUAGUGAAGCCCUCUAGCUGCACCAACACAUAUCUCAAGCCUUUGUCUCCAACUCAACCUUUGAUUCUCUGAGUCAUACAAGUGAUCCUUAAGUGUCCCCUUCUCCAUAUACUCAUACACAAUGAUCAUCUCACUGUUCUCAUCACAGUACCCAAUCAAAGAAACCAAGUGUCUGUGUCUGAACUGAGACAGCAUCUCAAUCUCUGUCUUGAACUCAGCUAGACCUUGGCGAGAUUUUGGAGCAGCGCGCUUCACGGCUAUCUCGGUCUUGUCUCUCAAGACACCUUUGUAGACUUUACCAAACCCACCAACUCCAAUCACUAAACUUUCGUUAAAGUCAUCAGUUGCUUCUUUGAUUAAAGCCAAAGGGUAUCGAUAACCGAUCUUCGAGCUGGAAAAUAUCAAGCUUUCACCUGUUUCGUUCUGCUGCUUAAUCUCCUCAUCUCCAGUCUGUAUUUGUCUUCUUCUCCUUAUGCACAAAGAAAGUAUAACCACACCAAACACUAAAGCAACACACAGAGCUGCAGCUACUCCACCUAUCAAUCCAAUACUCGGUUUCGAACUCUUUUUACCCUUCGGAGAAACAGCAUCAGAAGCAUCAACACUCUUCUUAUCAUUGCUAAGCUUCAUAAUCUCAAACCCGUUAAUGAAAGACACAGGGUAAAAAGACACGUCCAUAACUCCACCAAUAGAAAGACUCAACUCUCCUUCCAAACUCAUCGCCUUCAGCAUCACCGCGUCGACAAAAGAAGGAGCUCCAAAGGUUCCAUUCGCGACUUCAGACAUAUCAACAGACUCAACUCUCUCCGAGUUAACGUAAAUGUCGAAGCUUAUCUGACGAAGAUUCCCGAAAUGAUCCACUAUGAUGUUACAGAAGUGGAACCUGAGAAAGUAAUCGAAACCAGGGUCGACUCUGAACGUCCACGUUAAGUUGGCGUUUGUGUUUGGAUUGUCCUCGGAGUUCAACCUCGUGGCGGUUCCGUAGACGUACACUGGCGCAAUGUCCUCUGUUAUGUUGUUGCCACCAGCGCUGAAGUUAACAGCUUUGAGGUUUACCACAGGGAGACCAAAGUGAGCUACUCCCAUGUAGGUAGAGUCAGCAUCCCAUUGCCUCCAUAGCUUGUCUUGACCACGAGAGACGCUCAAGUUCCCCAUGUUUAUCCGAGAGACGGUCUCCAUGGCGUGAGUGCUGAGUUUGCGACUCUUUGUCGUCGUACUAAUGAGUCCUGCUUCCUCGGGGAGGAGAUUCUCUGGAAGCUUGAAGACUUCCAAGGCGUUGACGAAGGCGAAGGAGCCUGUUUCGGGACGGAAGUGGAGAGAGAGAGUGCUGGUGGAGAUUUUUAAAGUGUAUUCUUUCACAACAGAGGUCGUUGAAGGUUUGUUGUGUCGGAACAGAGUAAAGUUCUGAGAGGAAACAGAGAAUCUAGCUGAGGUUAGAUCUCGGGGGGAAGAUGAGGCGAAGGGUUGGAAGUAGAGACGAAUCAAGAACCAUCCGUGUUGGUUGAUCGUGAAUCGGUAAGUUGAUUCGUUGGAGAAGACUCUCGCCGUCUGAAACAGAGUCGACUCUGUUCCUGGAGGAAGGGUGUUGGAUUCGGUGGUUGUGACGGAGACUCCUCCCGAGGAAACGUUGAUUUCCCGACCGAGGUUGCUGUCGGAUACGAAGGUUCGGUUGUUGACUGUUGCAUUCUCCGGCGAUCCACAGUUGAUGAAGAAAGUGUCGGAAGAAGCAGAGGAGACCCGUGAAAAACAGAGGAUUGUUAGAACUAAUAAAGUUGAGAGCUUUAGGCUUAUCAUAGCCAACGAUGAACAGAGGAGAGCACAGUUGAAUCUUGGAAGAGAGUUUAAGAACAGAGAGGCAAAUGGGUAAUCACGAAAUCUUUAGGACACACAGAUUAUGUCGGAGAAGAUAAAAGUAAAGGUGGAAAGAAAGGUUACAUGAACAAAAACAUUUACAUCAGCUCAAUAACUAACGCUUUUACACUUGUUGGAGAGAAGAAAAAGUCUAGAAAGUUGUUAUUUUAGAGUCUUGAAAAGUGGUUUAUAAAUCAAGAAGACGAGAAAAAGAGAGAGAGAGAGAGAGAUGAUACACAAGUUGAUUAACAAAUCUGUUGACAAAAGCUGUAAUAACAAAUGUAAAAUCAACAAGAAGAAGGGGGAGAGGCACGAGAAAGUUUUUGUAUUUUUAUGUAUAUUUCGUUUUCAACGUUUGGGUUUUGACAAGCUCAUCAAGCUGGAAAUUCAAUAAGAUGUUAAGAAUAAUAGUAAUAUAAUAGAAAUGAGGAUAAGAAAGCCAAAAAGAGGAGGAAGAAGAUGAGAUUGGAGAGGCAUAAUAAAUGAUAAAUCAAAGAUAAUUAUUUCCCACCGGCUUCAAACGUGCCGUUAGGUUUGAGUUGUUCAAGACAACGACAGUAUAAUUGUCCUUUUUGAUAGUAUUUGAAUCAAUCAGUAUUUAUUCAUGUAUGUAUCAGAGAAAAUAUUGAUUUUUAUUAUUAAAAUAUUUUUAUUUAACAAAUAGAUUAAAAUUUUAAAACAUUUAUAGUAAUGAAUAUAAAUACUUCAUCUGUUUCAAAAUAACAUUUAAAAUAUUUGAAAACAUAUUAACAAAGUUAUUAAAAAUUUCUACUUUACCUAUAAUUAGUAUAUUAUUUUAUGUGAUUUUUAGUUAAUGAGCUAAGAAGAGAGAUAAAAGUUAUAAUUUUUAUUUAACAAAUAUAUUAAAAAUGUAAAACAUUUAUAUUAAAAUAAUAUAAAUCAAAGUAAACAUUUUAUAUAUUUUUUGUGAGUUUAACAGUUUUACUUGUAUUAUAUUGAAAAUUAGUUUUCUUACUAUAAAUCACAUUAUAUGUAAUUCCAUUCCAAACUUUAAAUUUGUUAGUGUAAAACAUUAAUAAACCAUUAAAUUAAAAGACUUCCACAAAAUGAGAUUGGUUCGAAGAAUGAAAUGAACAACAUAAUGUGAACAAAAGUGUCAUAUAAAUAGAAACAUUCCUAAUUACAUUGUUUCUAAAGAAUGAAAUGAAAUCUCUUUGUGAUGUCAAAAAAAAAAAGAACUCUCUGGGUGUUAUACAAACGACAACGUCUUAUUAUGUAAACAAUACUUUUUCGAAAAAACAUAACAUCAAAAAAAUAUAACUAAAGCAGUUUUAAUUUUUUUGGACAUGUUUAAAUUUUUUUGGUCAAAAAAAAAUAUUAAAAAUAGGAAGAACAUGUUUAAUUAAUUACAUAAUUUAUUUUGAUCAUUAUCUAGCUGUUUUUUGUUAUUACAUGUAAUGUAUAUUGCUUUUGAUAUACAUGCACCACACAAUAUCAUAUAUGAUGAUAAUAUAUAUAGUAGCCGAUCCACGCCUCCACAAACAAAAGUUCAUUUGGGUAUCACUAAAUAGUAUUGUUUAAUGUCGUUGAUAUAUAUGUUUUCUAUGCAACAUAUCGUAUAUUUUUAAUUAAGAGAAUAUUUGGACUAUGUCUUGAGGUGUUCCGUGUAUAAACAUUCUACGUUUAAACUUUUAUUACCAACUAUAAUUAGGAGACUAUCGUCUAUCAAGUUUUAGGAUUGCAUAAACUCGUGAUUAAUUUAUUCCUUCUUCCGACUAGUGUCAUUAUUUAUUCAUCAAAUCAGAAAAUAUCACAUGGUUGGUUUGUGAUCUAAGGAAUUUCUGUUGAGAAAUUUACUCAAAAAUAAUAUACACCAAUUGUUAAAAACGAAUUCUAAAAAAAGAACAAGCAGAGACAUUGGGAUCAUGUUCUUCUAUGCAUUAAGAGCAUUUGGGAUGAGUGAAGAUCUUGUGCUUCUGCAGUUCUGCUUGAUAGGCAAGUGAACAUAGACCUCGUGAACUUCCUGCUGACAAACAUCUCUCUUGUCUCGAUCAAUGGCCUGACAAAACAAACAGAGAUUGUGACUAUCACAUUGUCAAGAACAUGUACAAAGAAACCCAAAAUCAGAAUCAAUACGAGCCUGCUAGAAAGAUUUUUUUUUGAUCAAACAACCUGCUAGCAAGAUACAUAACAUCACAAUUCAACGGGAAGGAAUAAACUUCAUGCUCUUACUCAUUGAGAAAAUGAUUGAGGGUACAAUCUAUUGCAAAGACUACCUACUGUAACAGGGAAAUAAUGAAAAUUGGUCCCUUUUUCAAUAAAACCUAAGAUAUAAUAUACAUGAGCAAUCAUAUAAGAUGAUGGCAGCUGGAACUUGUUGCUUGUUUCACAGACUAUCCUUUAAGCUGAUUUUGAUGUUCUGCACUUUGAUGGACACCUGUAACUUUUGAUCUUCCAUUUCUUUCAAGACCGAAAGUAGGUUAGUCCUGUAGGCUUCACAUCUCCUGUUUGCUAAUUCCAGCUCGUUUCUGAGCUCAAUAAUCUUCUUGUCCAUUUCAUCCUGCAAAACCAGAACCAAUAUGGUCAUCCAUUACAAAACACUGACUGUGCAGGACAAAACCAGAACAAAAGAUGCGUUACCUCGGGCUCAUCUUGCUGAGAGUCCUCAUUACGGAGUAUCUGCUCUCCACCACUUGCAGAGUUCCCUUUAACAUGCCCGUUAGCCAUAGUUCUCCUAACUUCGUUUUUCAUUUCCAAGGACACAGUCUUGGCAGCUUCUUGCAGAGCAACUAGAGCGACGUCACAAGUAUACAGAGAUUUCCCCGCUUCUUGCACAAAACUAAAAGCUUUAUGGCGUAAGGUGUUGUACCGGACAGUAUGAGACUCCAAGUAAUUAUCAUACGCAUGCAAACCAUAGUCAUCGAAUAUAACACUGCUCUUGGCAUUUCUCGUCCAUCUUUUCAGGAUAUAGUAAGGCGGAAGCGUAAGGAGAUUGGUGACACGGAAGACCGCCAAUAUAUGUCUACACACAAUCCCAGAGAACUCAAACAUCUGGCAACUGCAGUUCGCUCUCAUCUCCAAAAUGUUGAACUUAACGCAAUGAGCCUUGUGAGUCUCUCCGUACUUCGCAACCUGGUAGGUACCGAGAUCCCCAUCGUCAUCAGCUUUGGACGCCAUGAAAGUCAAAGUCCCCACAAGCUCCUCCUGAAACCUCGUGAACAGCUUCCUCGUGUAAAGCUCAGACGCCUGCUUCUCCAUCGGAGACGGAGUCUUCAGAACGGGAGGCGAGUUCAUCGUGUCGUAAUCCGCUUUAACUUCUUUCUCGAGACGACUCUCCAAAGCUUUCUCGUACAGCUUAAAGAACUGGCUCAGAUUAGUCGAAGCGUUGAUGUAACCAUCAAAAUACGAGUUGAUACUGUCACUACGCUGAGUGGAAGACAUCUCCGCGAAAAAUGUAUCACGGAGAUAGACAGGAACCCACUGGCGUCGAUCAGAGUACAACGCUUGUAGCCAGUCAUGAUCCCUCAGCUCAUACUUAUCAAGAAGCGAAAACCAGCAGGACUCAAAAUCCUCAACAGAGUCGGUCACAUUCACACUCUUGUGUAAAUCAGACUCAAACGAAGGAUGCCUGAGAAACACAUGAGACAACUUCUCCUGACAUUUCUUAAAAAUAUGCCACUUGCAGAACCUGUGACGAGCCUCAGGAAAAACCUGCAUCACAGCAGCACGUAUAACCGCGUCGUGAUCAGUAGUAAUCGAAACAGGAGAGCGUCCCGACAUCGCUGAUAACCAAGUCUUGAAAAGCCACACGAAAGAAGCCUCAUUCUCAUUAACAAUAAACGCGCAUCCAAACAGAAUCGGCUGCCCAUGAUGGUUCACACCAGUGAAAGGAGCAAAAGGCAAACGAUACCUAUUAGACCUGUAAGUCGUAUCAAACGUCACCGUAUCACCAAAGUAAGUAAAAUCAGUUAUAGCUUUGGGAUCAGCCCAAAACACGUUACCAACAGACUCAUGAUGAUGAUGAUCAUCCUCGACGGAGUAAAAGAAGGAGGGAUUAUCAGCAUUCAUCUGCCUCAAGUAAUCAAGAAGAAGCUGAAUCUCUCCCUGUAUACUCUUCUGCCUAUUGUUCCUCAUGUAAUUCCUACAAUCCACCUCGGUAAACCCAACUCUGCUAAUCCCACCGUACUCUUUAAUCAGAGCGGACAUUAUCCUCCUGGGCCCCAUCCCAGCGGCCUGCAACGUGUCAAUCAAAGUCUUGGCGGGGCCCGAGAUCUGCCUGUGGGACCUCAAGCAGUGGACCUGAUCUGGAGGAACCAGCUCGUGAUUGUGCUCUUUAACGAACCCAGAUACGGCCCAUUUACCGGAGGAGUCGUGCAUCUUAACGGAUAAGGAGGCUUUGCAACCGACACGUGUGAUGGUUCUGGGACGUUUGAUCUCUCUGUCCUUGGUGCGUUUCUCGUUCAUGUUCCUGAAGCCUUCUUUGGCGCAGACGAACUGUCGCUGGAUGAUGGCGCCGUCGCGGCGGGAGCGGCGGGAGGAGCUGACGCGGGUGCUGAAGCCGAUGCGGCGGGCGUAGGAGUUGUAGAAGGCUUUGGCGGAUUCCUCGGAUUCGAACUCGAGGCCUUCGUAUGGCUCGAGGUCGCCGUCGGGGAAGUAGGUGGCGGCGUCGGAGGAGUUGGUGGUGUCGUCGAGCAUGUCGAUCGCGUCGUUGGGCUCGAUGUCGAUGCCGUCGUCGUCUACGUCGAAGUCGAGCACUUCUUCGUUAUCCAUUGCGAGAUCGUUCGUCGGAGAACAGAAGAAAUCGACACAGAGGGAAGGAGGAUCUUGAUUUUAGAGAACCCUAAAUCGAGUGGGAAUGAUGAAGAACUAGUGGAAAUAAAAGGGCUUUUGCGCAAAAUCUAUAUGUUGAAACGAAAUAAUACGAUACUGUUUACUUCCAUACGAUGUCGUUUUAGGCGUUAUCAUAGGAUGCACAAAUGCAAAGAAAAUGAUCCCAAAAUAACUGGCCGGGCCUGUCCACCAGUUACUUCUCUAAUACCGCCAAUAUAUAACCUGAUCGAUUUAUCAAAGGUUCAAAACCAUGACACUGAUCACUAGUCACUUUGAAAGCCACCUACUCAUAAAUGUGUUACCGUUUGCAUUAAGGUAGACAUGAAGUUAAUUUAAUGUCAUCAGUGGAUGUUUUUAGUGUAAUAAAACUAUUACUAUUCCAAUAAAUUUUGGUAUGCCAUGAUUAUACAGUGUAAUUACAGUUUACGUAUGGCAUGAUAAGUCAGAUAUUCUUAUACACAACUCAACAGUGAAUCCAUACUGGAAUAGUUAGAAGUUUUUAAAAUACUAGAAAGAAAAAUUAAGUUUUGGCAGAUGUUCUAAAAAUCGAUAUAAACAGCAAUUUCCUUAAUAUUGGUUUGACCAUAUACAAACUGAUCCAAAUCCAAUGGACAUAUAUAUUCGGAGUAAAGGGUAGAACCGGUUUAAAAUAUGAUCAUCUUAAUUUUUAACCCCAAGGCUUUCACUCACAGCUUGAUCAGAAAACAAUAAUGCGUUUGUGAAUCAAAAUCUAUCAUUCAGAAGAAUCGGUAAAAAGGAACAUAAAACAAAAAGCCAAGUAGCCAACUCACUCGAGAGAUAAUAUUCAAAACACAAAGAUUGAUGAUGUGAUUAAUAAUAAUUAAGAACAAGGUCAAGGUUACACCUUAAUAGCAUACUUUCUAAUUGGAAAGUACAUUUCUUUCUUCUUCUCCCUUUCUGUCUUCAGCGAUGCCUGUCCAAAAGCAAGCAACAAUUCAUUCAGUAUCAACACACCAUAUGUUCAUUACUCAAAAUCAGUUUUUUUGCUUCUACUAAACACAAUACAGUAAACAGAGAUUGCGAGAUAUGAAUAAAACAUGAGUUUACCUGAUGCUUGGUGAGUCUCCUCCUGAUAGCUCUAGUCUUCUUGGGACGAAGAUCAAGAGGCAAAAACUUCUUGUUCUUGUAUGCCUCUCUCAGAGCAAGCUUCUGCUUCUGUGAGAUCACUGUCAACACCUGAGCGAUUGAUUUCCUCACCACCUUACUUUAAAAACCAAAAACAAACAGAACCCAUUUGAGAUCUAUGCUUCCUUAAUCACUACCGCUAGCUAAAUCAUAAACAGAGCUAUAUAGUAGAGAUUACGUGUUCGUCACGUUAAUCACUCAAUGUGAAAAAACAAUUGCUAAAUCACUCAAAAUGUGACAAAAAUGAAGAUGUGGAAAAACAUACAUCUUAGAGAGCUUGUUGGGAGCACCUCCAGUGACCUUGGCGACGCGGAGAAGAGCUAGCUCGGCCUUGAAAUCUUUCAACUGAGUCGAAAGAUCGGUUUUUGAUUUCUCUCUCAGCUCAUGAACCUUGAUCCUCGCUGUUCAUGUUCCAUUUCACAACACAAGUCAAGACCCAAACAUAAACGAAAAAGAUGUUUAACAGUCGAGGAAUGUAAGAAACUUAGACUGGCUUACCCAUGGCGUCUUCGAGUUCUCUGGCUUCCCCUUACUCUGUUUGAGUGUUGUGUUAUGGGGACGAUGACGGCUAAGACUUUUCGAUCGGAACUUAGGUUAUAUUUACUUGGGCUUUGACUGAGGCCAUUGUUAGUGGGCCUGUUUUGAUAUUAUAUGGCCCAUUGUGUAAUAGUUACACAAUGUGAGUCGUAUACGUAAUUGUUUUUUUUUCUUCUUUUAAGAAUAUUAAUGGUUUUGUUAUUUCUUACAAGUCAAAGGCUAUUUAAAUUACUACUAGUACAUAUUUCUUUCUUCACGCUGGUUUUUUUUCUUAUAACAGAAAUUUUGAAAUUUUAAUUCAUAAUAUUUAAUAAUGUUUACGAAAAUGUUGAUGGUAAAAUGUUUAAAAUGUAAACCACUUCUUUAAAACUGAAUUGAACUCGCAAUUUCGAAUACCUUCAGAACUCCUAAACCCACCAACUAUGAUAUCCUUCACAUUGUUAUAUCGGUUAACUCGCUAAAUAACAACUGAUUGGUUCUAUUACAUUUUUUUCGAAAGACAAUCGGUUCUGUUACUGCAUCUAUAUAACAUAUAGACAUUGUUUAUGUCAUAUGUGGUAUGUCAGUUCAAAUUAACAAGAAACAUGAUUAUACCAUUUGUAGACGAAUCAAGAUCUUAAUCUAGAAGGUGUUUGUGCAUGUUACUUUCUUAUACUCUAUAUUUCAUAAAAUGAUUGGAGGGAGUACAAGGCAAAAAAAUAUAGGGAAGAAUUAUUCAAACAAAGGAAAAGAUGUUACAUGUAGGAUAUACCACUUGCAUAGAAUACACGGUUGGCAUGAAAAAUCUGUUUAGAAUGUCCUUUUCUUUUCGUUUUUGACAUCUAGAGUUAGACUGAAUGAAAGAAUUCACUUACAAAGAAGUUUUAGUUGAAGACGUUAUGGUGAUUAAUAAAUGUGACAGAGAAAUGUAAUUACGAGUAGAGUGAUGUUAAUGAUCUCUAACAAAUACAACCGCUCUAAAGUGGCUUUCCUUGUUUCCGGGAGUCGCUCGAGUCCUUUGGCUUAAGGCUCUUUCCUUCGCUUGUUACAUGUUUCUUGGGCCACAUUGUUAGGAUUUGAAGAAAUAGAAGUACACGCCGUUUAUAACUUUAACGUAAGAGCUAAAUCAACUUUUCUAACCACAACUUUUUUUUUUCUUUUUUUGACUAAACCACAUAAAUUUUAUUGUGAUCAAUUUCAGACUUCUUAUAAGAUUUCGACUUGUCUCAAUCUCCCUAGCUCUCUACGACUAAUCAAGUACAACGAUUACAUGUAUGACAAAAAAAUCUGAAGAAAAGUAAACUUGACUAAAAUAUUAAAAAUACUUUCAAAUUUCAAUAUUCACUUUUCAAAAAUUAUUGAAGUCAUUCCCGGACAAUUCCGUAAAACCUCAUAAAGAAAUAUUUGUUCUAAGGUCACUUUCCACUACCAAUCUAAGUUACCUCAAAAAUAUAUACAAAUAAUUUCAGUUCUGUAACUCAACAUGCAGUAUGUUAAUCAGAAUAAUAUAUGGUUUAGAAUUUACUUGAACUGAAACAUUGUUUUAUAAAAUGUGUAUUAUAUAGUUAACACAUGUUCUACUAAAAAGUAGGCAUAUUUAACGGUUUGAGAAUCCCUAAAUGGAAAACUGGCCACAGUUUUGGGAUAUUUUAUUUUAUUCCACACUUUUAGCUUUACUCAAACGAUUCAUUCCUCAAAGGCUGGCUGCAUAUUUUGUUUAUUGUCGAUGAUAUGACAUGUUGAUAUGCUGAUCAAUCAAAAAAAUGUGUAUUUGUCACUUUGAACAUUGAAUCAUAAAUAGUUUUAGAAACUUUUUUUUUUUGAAAAAGUAGUUUUAUAAACUUCUAUCAUCGUAUUGAGGUGUUAAAUGUCUUUAUUAUUAAAUUAAUAAAGAAAGAUGUUAAAAAUAUUCAAUGGAGCAGAACUUUUAUACCUAAGUAUUUUUAUACCUAGGUUUAAUUAGUCAAUAUUAAAAAAAAAUUAUAUUAGUUAAUAUUUUUAUAUGUAAAAUAGUAGAAAAGGUAGAUUUGACAUUUUGUAAGUUUUGUAUGCUUUAGGUUCCGUAAGCUCAUGCGCUACUGUAGAUCUCACAUUUGAUGGUUGACUUUGUUAUGAUCGUCCGUUUAGUAUUUUAUAAUAUAGAAAUAACAAGUAUAUAACAUUAUUCAUCUCACUUUCCAGCUUGAUGUUCGAUGAGAUUAGAGAACUUCUACGACAUCAGUUGUUUAAGUGUCUUGUAUGCCCUUAUCUUAAUAUAUUGUAUUUGCUUCUUUGUAAUAGUUUGUUAUUUGGCCAUGAUGACUUUAUUAUCAUGUUGUAUGAACACUUUUUCUAUUUAUAGAGAGUAAUAAGAAUCUAUAAAAUUGAAGUUUGUCCAAAAAAAAUAAAAUAAGGUGGAUAGAAUGUGACCAAUGACAGUGCGAAAAAUGUUAAAUAUCUGUCAAGAGAUUGAAAUGGUUUUGUUAAUUAACCUUAGCAUAUUAUAAUGUAGAUAUGAGUUUCAAUUUGGUGAUGACAAUCUUUCAAAAGAUAUGUCAAAGACUCAAAGUUUUACAACGCAAAAUUGUAUAGCCAAUUUACACAAACUUUGCUUUCUUCUCCCCAAAAUGAAAGAAUUCUGAGGCAUGGGAGUUUCUGUACGAUUUGGAGGCUAAUGAAAUAUUUUAAAACUUGAGGUGUUAAUCGUGUUAUUUUGAAAGUUGAGGGGGUGUUUCCGAACGUCGCCAUACUUGAAAAGUUGCCACUUGUCAGAAAAUCUGUCAAUGACUUUUUUUUUUGUCAAGAAGCAAACAAAACGUGUUGGAGUGCGUGGAGAGGAAAGGGAUCCGUUAUUUCGUCACUAUCAAACCAAAACGGCGUCACAUUGUGGUACCAUCUUUUCUUAACUGCCCAAUAUAAGCAGAGCCGUUCAGCAAUUACAUAUCUCUUAUCAUUAAACUCGUUCGUCUCCAACAAAACUUAAAACAGAGAAAGUAAGAGACUUGGAUCAACCUCUUCUUGAAAAUGGUAUACUCUCUGCCUUCUAUCUCUUUCAGACCACAUCUGAAAAUAUAUUAACUCGUUGUUCUUGUGUUGUGUGAAGGCUAGUGAAACAGAUAACAUCAUGUAUGAAGAGGUAUGUGUUCUAUUAUGCUAGUUAAAAAAAGAGUGUGUUAUGUUCUUUAUAUAGAUAGAGGAAUCUGUGUGUUUGAAUGAUGAUUAAUUAUAUGCAGAGUUUCAUUAAGAACACUCGAGGAAUGAAGCUAUUCACGUGCAAGUGGUUACCAGCAAGUCAAGAGCCAAAGGCUUUAAUCUUCAUCUGCCAUGGAUAUGCAAUGGAGUGCAGCAUCACCAUGAACAGUUGAGAUCAGCCCACUUCAUGAUUUUCUAUUAUUCAUUAAAUAACGAAGUUUUAUUAAUGUUUUGUGAUGAAUAUGAUUGGAUUAGGUACUGCAAGGAGGCUUGUGAAGGCAGGAUUUGGAGUGUAUGGAAUGGAUUAUGAAGGGCAUGGCAAGUCUGAUGGGCUUGGCGCUUAUAUUCCAAACUUUGACCAUCUCGUUGAUGACGUGUCUGCCCAUUACACAUCCAUAUGCGGUAAUCUUGACUUUUAUACAGGGUGAAUGUGUAAUAUUUUGACUUUGGAAUGCUUAUCUUUUGAAAACGUUGGCUCUGGACACACGGUCAAAGCCACUCUUCGUUUACCAAUUACCAUUCACAAAUAGAAAAAAUGUGAACUACUCAAUAAUUAGCAUGAUAAAAAAAUGUUCUUGAGUUGAUGUUAUUGGAUGAGAGAAAGUGACUCGUACGUAACUUUUUGUCGUAUCACUUUGUCAGAAAAUGAUUACGAUGUGUUUUUGUCUGUGGUUGGAAUGAUUAGAGAGAGAAGAGAAUAAAGGGAAGAUGAGGUUUCUGCUAGGAGAAUCAAUGGGCGGGGCAGUGCUUUUGUUGUUACACAGAAAGAAGCCUGAGUUUUGGGAUGGGGCCGUCUUGGUUGCUCCAAUGUGUAAGGUAACAUUCAUUCUAUCUUUUUAGGUUACUGACAGUUCUCACUCGUAAGGAAAAAAAUAAAAUUAUAAAUAGAAAGCCACAACUGCAUAUAUUUUAUAAAUUCUACAAAAACUUUGUAUAUAUUGGAAGUAGAAAAUGUAUGAGCGAGCAUGGCUUAUAAUUUGAGAGGCCAGUAGGGGAAAAGUAUUAACUGGAUAUAUGAGAAGAAGAAAGGUAUUAUGAAAAAUACAAUUUUCAUUAUAUCUUCCAUACAGAGAUUAGUGGCCACCUAGUUUGUAUUUUUCUCUUUAAUUUUUUGACAUAUUUAAAACAUUUUACUACUUUGGCGUGGGCAACAUUUUGCUGCCUAUCAGAUCCAAUAAGAACGGACAUAUGCAAAUGCCAAAAUCUUGGCUGUCAAAUAUUAAAGGGGGCAUUAUGAUGUGAAACUAGCUGAUUUUAAUCAAAUAUUGGGUGUAACUGGUUAUCAAUUUAUGGAAUAUCAUGAAUGAAUAGAAUUAGAAAAAAAUGGAAUGUAGAUGAAUGGAAUAAGAGAAGUUAUGGAAUAAAAAAAAAUUGAAUUCCAUUCCACUCAUUCCACUUAUUCAUGAAUUUUUUUAACCAUGAAUGUGUUAUAACUACAUUCCAUUUUUUUUUCAGACAUUCCAUAAGGAAUCAUUAGAAUGAAAUUUGUUUUUUAUUCCAUUCAAAUGGUAAAAAAAUUUUGGAAUCUGCAGGAAUAAACCAUUCCAAAUAAUCUCAUUCCAAAAACUUGUAAUCCAGUUGCACCCAUUGUAUUAGUUACGUGUGAAGUUCAACCUCUUAAAGCAUGAAUACAUUAAUGAGGAAAAAUAUAUAUUUAAAUAUAUAUGAAGAUUAGUCAAAUAUCUUGUUAAUUAUUAAAGCGCUCCCACUAAGUUUCUGAAGUAAUCAUGCAAAUAAACUAAUUUAUAAUGUAUACUCAAAGCACAUGCAUAUGCAAAUCACUGAAGGUGCCUGGAUGAGAAUAUUACUCACUAAUCUUCGUUUGUUAUUAUAUAUGUCACAGAUCGCAGAAGAAAUGAAACCAAGCCCUUUGGUUAUUUCGAUAUUGUCGAAGCUAAGCGGGGUUAUACCCACAUGGAAAAUCAUCCCUGGCCAAGAUAUUAUUGAGACUGCUUUUAAACAGCCAGAAAUCAGGAAACAGGUUCUUAAGCACAUACUUAUGACCUAUUAUAAUGAAACGUAACGUAUAGUUCAACUAAUUAUAUGAAGUGAAAUUAUUGAAGGUUAGAGAAAAUCUUUACUGCUACAAAGGACGUCCACGUUUGAAGACUGCUUAUGAGCUCUUGAGGGUUAGCACCGAUCUUGAGAAGAGACUUAAUGAGGUAUUUAACUCUUCGUUUACUAUGCAGAAGUACCUGUCUAUCAUUUUUAAACUUCAUAAUGCUCUUAAAGUUUGUACAUUAUAACUAAGAUUUUUGCACCAAAUCGUGAUGUCAUAAAAAACCAGGUCAUUUGCCUAUUGCUCCAGUCCGAGCCUGCUACGUAGCGCUGAAAAUUGAAAUGUUAUAUAUAUAGUUAGGAAGUUAAUUUUCGAUUAAUUUCAUGUAAUGGUUGAUAGGUUUCGUUACCGUUCUUGGUGUUGCAUGGAGAAGACGACAAAGUCACGGACAAAGCAGUGAGUAGAGAACUUUACGAGACUGCGUCGAGUUCAGACAAGACUUUCAAGUUGUACCCUGGGAUGUGGCAUGGUUUACUGUAUGGUGAGACACCAGAGAACAUUGAGAUUGUUUUUGCUGACAUCAUUGGUUGGUUGGACAAGAGAGCUUCUGAUGGACAUGGAGGGUUUGAAUCCGAGCUUAAACGUGAAAAUGAUGCUUUCCAAUUGAAAGAGUAGGUAGUUGCAUUAUUUAUCAAUAUCACAAACGAAUAAAAACAAUAGUCAAGUUCUGUUUGUUUUCCUUAUCUCUCUCUUUUCUCUUGUGUAUCUUUGUUGUAAAAUGAUAUUUGUAACUUAAAUUUAAAAUUAUGGGUAUUUGAUUUGGUUAAACAAUGAUGAUUGUAAUAUUAAAAGUUAAGAACAGUUCUUAACUUAACAAAUUAAAAGUUAAGACAGUAUAAAUUCUGUCAUAGUCGCUACCGCUCUUCAACCAAAAUGGAAGCUGCAAAAUCUCAAGUAAAAGUCAUUGUUACUAUGUAUUCAUUAGCAAAUAAUUAUAUAUCAACAAGUCCAUUAAUGAUUUACAGAAGUUGACUUGUACUUUAGUUGUUGUUACGAGAGCUACUAUUGAUGUUAGAGAAUGGAUGAAUGCAACAAUAGUUGAUCAAGGAAGGUACACAAGAAGGUGACAUACAACAAGGCUCUCACAUGGAAACGCUCACCAAGAAGUUGGUUUAAAUGCAAUUAUGAUGUUUCUUAGUCAGUGUUGAUAAGAUGGUUGGUAGGUUCCAAAACCAUAGCAGGGCCGUCUCAAAUUAAUUUUAGGCCCUGUUCAGAAAAUAAUUUAAUCGUACAUUUUAUCAAGUAAUUUUAAAAUUUAAUAAUUUUGUCUGAUUUUUUAAUUAUAAAUUCUAAAUUUAGCAUUAUAUCUAAAAUUUUAAAAUUUCUAACCAUAAUUUAUUUAUAUAUUUUGAAAAAUUCUUAAAUUUUUUAUUUUUAUAUUUUGGGGCCGUGUUCAACAGCUCCACUUGCGCGUGCUGUUAGACGGCCCUGGACCAUAGUACUGUUGAGGAGGCUGAAUUAUCUACACUAAUCUGGGCACUACAAUCUUGUUGGUCACUAGGAUACACACCCAAGUUGAAUUUGAAGAAGACAACCAAAACAUUUCUUAAAUCCUCAAUAUGAUGGUCACUGAUGUUCACCUCUGUUUGUAUAAAAAGAGAUCAGACAACCAAUGUGCAAAUGUUCUUGCUAGAAAGUACAUACAAUCUUCUGGUAUGUAGUCUUUUUGACAUACUUGUCCUUCUUCUUAAAAGAAUAUGUAGUUACUUACUAAUUUAGUGUAAUGAUAUAAAAUUGAAUUGGCAAAAAAAAAGUAUCAUUAAGUAAAAAGUAUUUGGCUAACUCAAAUACUAAAAUAGAGGAUACUAAAAUAGAGGUUUAGUUGACUCUCAAACUCAACUAAAGCACAUAAACAUUAACAACAACUCCACUCUAAUAACUCCACAUCCCAAUCACACAAUACCAAAUUCUCACAUGCUCCUUAUAUAAACCCAUUAAACCAUUCCUCAGUAAACAUCAACACACAUAAGCAACUCUAGAAUCCAAACUAAAUACCAAAAAUGGCCAAAACUCUUCACAUAACAAUCAUUCUCUUCCUCAUGGCCUCUAGUCUCCUCGCAAAUAUCGACUCCGCUAGACUUCUUGAUGAGAUCCAACCUCAGUCUCAGUUAGUCCCUACAGGCCAACUCCCCACCGUGGCUCCAACCGAAGCUGAGGAAGAACCUGCACCAUCAACUACACUCCCAGCUGGUCCAGCAGGGGGUGGACACGAGCCAUUACUCGAGUUCUUCAUGCACGACGUGCUAGGCGGGUCACACCCAUCAGCUCGUGUGGUCACAGGAAUAGUAGCACAAACCGAAGUGAACGGCAUACCAUUCUCAAAGGCCAGCAACAGCAUCUUCCCUGUAGACAACGGAGUCCCACUAGUCAACUCAAACAACAUCAACAGCGUCAUCAACCCAAACACAGCUCCACUUCUCACCGGCCUUGGCGGCGCUCAAACCACCACAGUGAUCCAAAACACCAACGGCAACUCCAACGACGCCCUCAGCACCAACAGCCUCCCCUUUGUAACCGCGGGAAACCUCCCUCCAGGUGCUGCGCUCCAGCAUCUCAUGUUCGGUACCAUAACCGUUGUGGACGAUGAGCUAACCGAGAGCCACGAGCUCGGGUCAGCGGUUAUAGGGAAGGCUCAAGGGUUUUACCUGGCUAGUUCAUUGGAUGGGACUAGCCAGACUCUUUCUCUGACUGUUCUGCUAGACAGAGAGCAUGAUCACCAUGACACUUUGGAUGAUGCCAUUAGCUUCUUUGGUGUUCACAGGACAGCCUCUCACGCCUCUCAGAUUGCAGUUAUUGGCGGGACAGGGAAGUUUGAGCAUGCUAAAGGGUAUGCAAUAGUGGAAACACUGCAUAACCAGAACAACCAGCAUAUCACUGAUGGUCAAGACACCAUCCUCCAUUUCAGUGUUUACCUCACCUACAAAGCUUGAGUGUUGACCAAGCUAUGAUUGCUUAUGCUUGUGGAUUUUAUCCUUUUGUUUGUAUUAAAUGAGACUGUUUCAAUCAAAAAUCUUGUUUCAUUCACACUUUGACAAAUGGGUACAAAUGUCACAGUAACUUUUAUAGCAAUGUGACUGAACUUUCUAAGAGGCCAAUCCUAGACCUGACAACAAAAACAAUUUUGUAUGCACAUCUCCCUUUGAUGAUGCAACAACAACAACUACUCUCUCACUAUUCUCAAUCAAAAUACAGAGAAUGCAAAAAAAAAAAAAAAAGAAUGAAAAGAAUCACUUUGUAACUCUACAUGAAGACUUCAAGCAACAACUCAUCCACUAUCAUACUUUCUAACUCACAAACCACUCUCUCAUCAUCAUCAUCUUCAAGUUUGAACCAAUCAUCAAGGUCUAUUACCGCCACUUUGUUGAAUGAUUCUUUCUUGGCUAGCUUCUCUUGUCUGGCAAGUACUUUACAGAGUUCUUGUUUCAGUCCACAUGUGCUUAGCUCAACGCCAAGCCUCCUUGAGAGAGGUUUCUUCCAGGUUGGUGUAGCUGUAAAGGAUUCUAGAAUCUCUGCUAGACCUGAACUGACUCUGUCAAACAAAAUCCUUCUUUCAGACCUCUUCCAAGAUGUCUCAGUGUAAUACUUUUUCUCCAUCUUCUCGAAGACCUUGAAGGUCAGAGUAUCAGGAACACAAUUCUUGUCCAUAAGUGAAACUUCAGACAAAAUAUCAUCAAUGUAAGAAGACUCUCUCCUUUCUUGAGUAUCCAAGAGCCUGACUUGUUCACUGUCCUCGGUUUCAGAAGCAAUCACAGGCUCCUCAUCAUCGCUUGAUACUUCCAUCCCACUCCCAUCUGAAUAACUAUCUGAUUCAGUUUUCAGGUCGUCAAGCUGCUUCUCUAUACCUUUUGCCAUUAGAUGGUUUUAGUUACAGUUUAUACAAAAAGAAUACACAGAAGCUAACUUGUUUGUUCCUUACCAUGAAGAUCUAGAUAAGGAAGCUCUUCACUGUCGUCAUCUAACACAUCGUCGUUAAACAUUGGCUCAAGAACAGAAACAGGACUAGGCUGAUGAGCUUCAUCCGUCUGACAUCCAGGAGAAGAUGCUGUGGAGCAGUCUGAUGAAUCCUCACUUUCAUCCUGCAGUUCCAAUCAAGAGUUUUCACAAUCUUAUAUCACACAACAAGUCACAAUGUGCUCUCAGAGAAUCAUUACCUUGCUAAUGGAACCUGGAGGAGAUACAUGUCUGAACUUGACAUCUUGUGCGAAUCUGUUCCGCUCCAAACUCAACACUGAGUCCCUCCUAGAGGUACUAACAAUCAACUUAGAACCAUCUUCUCUCACAGCUCCAUCCUUCUUCUGAACCAAUGUAGUAGUAGUAGUGACAUUACAAAGUUUACUCAUUUCAUUUGGUUUCUUCUUCUCAGGGGUGACAAUGUAUUGCCCUUUCCUUCUACUAUCUCGCAACUGAGAGUCACUACCGAAACCAAGAGGAGAGAACCGUCUCGGAGAACUCUCUUUCUUCUCAGCAUUUGUGUGUUGUCUCAGCUUCUUCGGCUUCAAGUUCAAGUUUUGCUGAUCAAAUCUCCCACCAAAUCUCCUCUGUUUUGGCUUCUGAGAGUGAGGAGGCUUAGCUCGUGCAUCGAUGAUACCCUUGGAGGCUAACAACUCUGUUUUGUGUAGAUAAACACGACACAGCUCCUUCGUUGGCACCACCUUGAAACCAGAAUCAAAAGCUCUCGCCUUUACGUGACGCAGAGGUUGAGAUACCCCAUUGAAACGCACCGUUUUGGCGAAAACAGAGGAUCUAAUCUCUUUAGACUCCAUCUCUUUCAACGACCUGCAACUACUUCAAGAAAUCAACACAUACCCAGAUAUUGAAAUGAAGUAACGAUAAAGAAAGUUGAUUCCUUUUUGUAGAAAGAGACAAAUCUAUAAAAGGAAACUCAACAACAGAGAGACAGAGAUCAAAUCGGGAAAGCAAUCUAACCUUUUUUUAAUGGAAGUAAAGAUCUUUUGCAGAUCCCAUCUGCGGAAAAAGAAACUUUGGGAGACGGAUACACAAUUGGCUCCUCUGACUUUUCUGAAAACGAAAACAGAGCAGAUGAAUUUGAAAACAGAGAGGUCAAACAAGAUUGGUUGAUUGAAGAUGAGAAACGUUUCUCUCUCUCUCUCUGUGGGUCACAAUCACUCUUUCAAAUUUUUGUUUUGAUAGAGAAGAGAAGACACGAAACGGAAUCGACGUCAAAGAUGGGUCAGUUUCAUCACAAGAAAUCUCUUUGCAAUUUGAUAAUUAAUAUUUUAGUUUUUUAUAAACCGUCCAAUAAUAUUUGCAUGGGGCCGCCACAAUUAUUCAUGCAGAGAAAAUUACGUCCCUCACUUUAUUCUUCCUGUCAACAAAACAUUUUUCAUUUUUAAAAACUACAAUAUCCAAAAAAAGAUGUAUAUAAUAUGUUAUCUUACCACAAUUAAUGACUUCUUAGGCUGGCCGGCAUUUGUUUAUGUUUAAAUCUACAUAUUUAAUUUGGUGACGUAAUGACAAUUAUAUUGGAUGAAAAUUUUACUUUGUUUUAUAAAAAGUGAUUUAGUAUAGAUUACUAUCUUUUAAUAUGCAAACAAAAUAAUAGAACCACAAAGCUGGUAUGGUAGUAUGUUAAGACAGGAUAUAAAUUGACAAAAGAUGACAGAUUAGGAGAACACACAAAAGCAACAUAUAUACUGAAAUAAAUAUUAAAUUUUUUUUGGGCAUAUGAAAUAAAUAUUAUACUAAAACAGACGAAUAUCUCUACUUUAAAAUUCAGGCAUCCAGCGUUAAGAAUUUAAGAUUAGUAGAUUGCAGCUAUUUCGUAUUAAAAAUUCAAAUGUAUAUAUAUAUAUAUAUUAUUUUUUAUUUAUAGUUUUAAUUGUUCUGGAUUACUUUCUAGUCACUGAAUUCUUUUGCUGUAAAUUAAAAAAAAUUCAACAAAUCUCCGACGAUUCAUUUUGCAUGAUUCAGCAAAUUUCAUCCUUUUUGUGUUGACGACAAUUAUAAAUUUUUGAAUGAUAUAACACGAAGUUAUAAAUUUAUAUUUCACAAUAAAAAUGUGAGAAAUUUAAAAACAUUUACUGAAAACAAAAUUAAAAUAUACGAAUUCUAAGUUUUUCUAAUCAAAAAAAGAAUUCUAAGUUUUUCUACAAAUUGAAAUUUGAGCUCUUUAACAUAAUGGGCUCGAUUUGGGUAUUUGAGUAUUUUUCAGGUGAUGAAGCGCAUCACAAAACCGUUAUAUAUCUUUUUUAUCUUCCAUAUAGGCUUUAACAUUAGAGGCGAUUAUAAUAUUAGGCCCAAGCAAUCUAGGGUUUUGCCUUCUCUUUUAUCAACAUCAUCCUCACCACUCCCCACUAAUAAAAGUGUCUGCCGCUGCAAAACUCACCUCGCGUAUUCAGCUGCUUUCACCUCACCAGGUUCGUGCGUCUUCGCCAAUGAUUCGUUAUGUCAAAGCUUCGUUCUUUAGCUUUCUUACAUUUCAUUUUCAUGUCUUCUAACAGAUUUUGAAGUGGCAAGGAAAAGUCCAGACCAGAGCAAUGUCUCCUGCUAAAGGUACGGUCUUUACGUUGAUAAUCAUUUUCCAUUUGCUCAUCCUUGUUGAAUAUUCACUUGGGUCUCUUACAAAACUUGUUUUAAACGCAAACAGUAAUAACUAGCCAUGGCUUUAAUGUUCUUAAGUUUUGAAGGAUAUGUUUUUAUGUUUUUAAAAGUUGUUAAAGCUCUCUUGUGUUGGUUAUUAUGCAGUUGAUACCACGAAGAAGGCUGACCCUAAAGCCAAGGCCUUGAAGGCUGCAAAGGCAGUGAAGUCUGGCCAAGCUUUCAAGAAGAUUAGGACUAAGGUCACCUUCCACAGGCCAAAGACUUUGACCAAGGCUAGAGAUCCCAAGUACCCGAGGAUCAGUGCUACUCCUAGAAACAAGUUGGACCAUUACGGUAUCCUCAAGUACCCACUUACCACUGAGUCUGCAAUGAAGAAGAUUGAAGACAACAACACUCUUGUCUUCAUUGUUGACAUUCGUGCUGACAAGAAGAAGAUCAAGGAUGCUGUUAAGAAGAUGUAUGACAUCCAGACCAAGAAAGUCAACACCCUCAUUAGGCCUGAUGGAACGAAGAAGGCUUACGUUAGGCUUACACCUGAUUAUGAUGCUUUAGAUGUUGCUAACAAGAUUGGCAUCAUCUAAGUUUUAUCUAUCUCUGCCAUUAUAAAAACAGACUUGUGGUUUUGUUUCUCUUGGUAGUCUCUGUUUUUACAAUACAUUCUUGUUGCAGUUAAUUGUUGAAUUCAAGUUCUCUGUUUUUGAAUUUGCUUAUGGACAAUCUUACCACAAAACACCCUUCUAAACUCUGCCAAAAUGCAAACUAUUCUGUGUCGAUGGACGAUCUCUUGAAUGUCUCUGUUACCACAUUUGUUUGGCUCCUUCGCUAUCUAUUUAUCCACAUGUUAACGAAUUGAGGAAACUGAGAAAUGACAGAAAGGAUUAAGCCUAAGAUCUGGACCGACAAAACUAAGGCAAUAUUGUUCAUUGAUUAUACACAUUUUCUUACCAGACGGAUAUUCUCUGUCCAAGUGCAUCACUGAAAGCUUAUUGUUCACUAUCAACCGGCAAUAAUCUUGGCUCCUCAGUAAGAAACCAAACUCUUCUUCACACUGUUCUUCUCUUCAUUAACACUUGAAUAGCUUACAAAAAGUAAAAGGAAGCGGAAGCAAUUGGAAGAGAAGGCACGCUCUUGUGGGAAUAGGAACUUUAUUGGCAACUUCAGUUCCAGUAACUUUGCUUGUUGCUGAAGGUAACCUGCCAAAAACGACUUCUUGUAUUUUUUCUUCUUUCUUUUGUGACAAAGUAUAUGGCUUAGUUUGGUCUUAUAAUGUUUCUGCAGAGAUACCAAAAAGCCAUUCGUCUUUGUGGAUCGACUGGAGGGUGAUAAGCCAUGAGUUUGUUAUAUAUUUUGUUGUAAAUAUGAAACUUAAAUGAAAAAGCUUUGGAUUGGUUUCUUACUAUUAAACUCCAAUGAUGAUUGGUUUAAUAAAUAGAUGAGAUUUCAAUCAAACUUUCAUUUAAAAGACGUGCCAAAUAAAGUGGAUACGAUGUAUUUACAAACAAGACGCCUAACCAUUUCACAUUCUCCACCUAAAUCACUCACAUCACUAACAAAAACAAACCUCAGCAAAUAAACUGCCUCUAAUCUUGAGUUUCAAUAAACAAAAUGAUAUACCUUAGAUACCAAGCAAUGAAUAAACACAGUCCUACUUCAAUGCUUCGUCUCCUGAAAGAAUAUGGGAAUCUACGUCUACAAGCUCCUACUUUGCUUACAGAAACUACCCGUGGUUGUACAUCUGCUACUCAUAUGAUGUAGUUCCCAAACCGAAAAGCCUUGGUCAGAUUGCAAGUUAUGUCUUGUCAUCGCAUCCAAUAACAGUAUCCCGUGGCAUCACGUGAUAGUUGUUAUGCGACUCUGAGCUAAGCGUUGGUGAAGUGGAAAGUGUUCAAUCUCUCUAGAUCAGUCGAUGUUGGCGUAGACCCUUGCCAUAAUGUGGUUGCAUUAAACGCACAUACAAUCCGUUCUUACUCGAUAAGGUAUCAUGCGUGCCUUGUUCAACUAUUUUGCCUCCAUUGAGAACCACAAUGUUGUCCACAUGUCUCAUCAUCGCUGCUCUAUGCGCUAUCAGAAUCGUUGUUUUGUUCCCCAUUAUCAACGUAUCAAGAGCUUCCUGCACAACACGGCUUGACUCUGAUUCAAUAGACGAACUCGCUUCAUCAAUCAACAGUAUUGGAGCGUUCUUCAGUACUACACGAGCUAUGGCGAUUCUCUGUUUCUGUCCUUGAGUUAGCUCAACACCUCUCAUCCCGAUAUGUGUGUCGUAACCGUGGGCUAAGCUGCUUAUGAAAUGGUGAGCAUUUGCAAUUCUCGCUGCUUCCUUCAUCUCAGCUUCACUGGCGUUAUGCCUUGCGUAUAUGAUGUUUUCUCUGAUCGUCGUGGAAAAGAUUAUUGGCUCCUGUUGAAUCAGACCCAUGUGGCUUCUAAGCCAUCUCAAAUUAUAUGACUUCAAGUCUCUCCCGUCUAAUAAGACCUGACCAGCGACUGGAUCGUAGUAUCUCUCGAUCAACGAUAUUAUUGUGCUCUUUCCAGAACCAGAAACACCAACCACAGCUAAUGUUUGUCCCCCGCUAACCUUGAGACUGAAGUUGCUUAGUACUAACACUUCCGGGCGAGUUGGGUAGCAGAAGUCGAUGUUUUUGAGUUCAAUGCUUCCAUAGACGUUAGGCGGGCUAAGAGCAGAGGUAUCAUCAGGUUCGAUUGUAGGCACUCGAUCUAUAAUUUCAAAUACUGAAGCGAGAGAUCUACGGCGCUUAAGAAUGUAAGGUGCUAAUCCGAAUGGCUCGACAAGGGCAAAUGUAGCAAAGGAGAAAACCAUGUACUCGGUUAGAGCUGUUGACAAUUUCAUAUAUCCACGCUUUACUGAAAAUGCGGUGAACCAGAGUAGGAGAGCAUUGCAGGCGAAGAGGAGAAACUGGGAGAAGCCAAACGCUAAGCCAAUAGCCAUCCCAUGGAGAAAGCUCUGUCUGAGUAUCCGUUGAAGUUGCAGUCUGUAGAGUUCCAUCACCUUGUUACCGGCACAAAAAGCAACAACAGUGUAUAUGUUUCUGACAGCAUCCUCGAGUACUAAAGACGCCUUUCUAUGCAUCUCCUGGAUGCCCUUUGAGAAUCCAGCUAGCCAAAGUUUCUGUUUGAGGGUUAUAUUAGAAACCAGUGUCAGGAGAAUAUACAGAUAAGCGAAGUACAUGAAACAGAGUAGAGAGAUCCACAUACUAAAUCGACGCUACUUGAACUCGAAACACUUUAUAUAAAUCAGAAAUACAAUUUGACAAAGGGGAGGCAUGCGACUACUGAACCGGAAUUUGUUAACAAAAACAUAAGGGUCUGUUGGGGGAAGACUAAGAAACGAAACGAACCUGAGCGAUGGCGGAGAGAGUUAGUAUUGGCAAAGUUGCCAAUGCAACAAGGGCCAAGCGCCAACCGAGAAGCAACCCAAUAAGAAUGGCAACGAUAACAGCAAAACUAUCCUGAAUAAGUAUCGAAAGCCUAUUGCUGAAGGCGGCUCGGACAAAAGUGGCGUCAUUUGCUAGGCGCAUGGAUAACGUAUCUGGACUGUUCUCUUCUUCAUCAUACCACCCAACUUCAUUACGCAGCAUCGCUGGCACAGAGACAGAUCAAUGAGUGAGGCAAGUGAAAGCUGUAAAACAAGUAGUGAAAUGAGUUAAAUAAAGAAGGAAAAUAUUGCAGUACCUGAGAACAUCAUCCGCCGCACUCUCUCCGUCAUUUUCUCCCCCAUAAUACCAAAGUAGAAAUGCUGCAAGAAAUUGGCAAAAACUGUCACUAGUCCCAUGCCGGCAAUGAUCAAACACCACUUGUCAACCUCCUUACGCAGGUGGCUUCCCUUGCUAUUAUAGUAUGCUGUCACUACCAAUGCAAUGACGUAAGCUAAAAGAGGAUUGAAAGAACCAAAGAUGGCAGCACCAAUACUCCCUAAUACAGCAUAUAGCCACUCUGGAAAACUAAGCUGAGCCAACUUCCAAAAGGAAGGUGACUCCACCUUAACAUUUGUUUUAGUGUCAUCAGAAUGGCCAAGAGGGCGGCUAAACGUCUGUGAAUGGGAGCGCUCAUUUUGGGGAUCCGAUAUCAAAAGGGGUAAUAUAGGGGACUCCGGAUCUGAACCAUUUGAUUUCUGACGUUGUGGACACUGAAUGUCAAUUUUUGGUAGUUCUGGCAACCGCAUCUCGAAGCUAUCUUGUCUUUUAAUGGUUGGUUCCUUUUCAGCUACAUCCAAAGACGAGCCAUUUUCUCCCACUUUAUCUGGAGCAGGGCUAUGAUCAUUGUGUGACUCUUCACUAUUAAAGCACAUGUCCUGGGGGCGAAAAACAUUGUGACCUCUCUGAAGAGAUGGAGACUUGGCCAUUUUGGGUGAUGAAUGUUCUUGAAAGCCACGACCAGCUGAAGAAUCCCUCUCAGCUUGGAAAACAGCAGGGUCGUUGUAGUUCCUAACUGGCAUCCUGUAAGAAGAUAAGAUUUUAUAAACAAGUAAAUCGUCAAAGCCGGACAACAAAAUAUUCUAGCAUCACGUUAGCUAUACAACAGAGUAGUACAGACUUGACAAGUUGUUAGAUAUAUGUCUUGGCUGGAGAAUCAUACCGUCUGGGUAGCUUUGUUGCUUCUUCACACUUCAGAAGCUCGGCAUACAAAUUACCAAGGUUGAUUAAUUCAUCAUGUGUACCCAUCUCAAGUAGCUGACCCUCUUCCAUUACAGCAAUAUAGUCAGCAUUUCUUAUCAGACUUAAUCUUCGAGCUAUUAUUAUGGUAGACCGUCCUAACAUGAGAAGAUCAAGAGCUUCUUGGACAACUCUUUCAGCUUCAAAGUCUAGUCCUCCAGUGACCUCAUCAAGCAAAAGAAUUUUUGGAUCUAAGAGUACAGCUCUAGCAAUCGAUAGUUUUAUUUUCUGCUCCUCCGUCAACGUUAAACCAGCUUUUCCAACCUACCAAACAAGUCAUUUCCAACUUCUAAACUAAAAACAGAAGCACCAAAACUGCAAUGCGUAACUACAAACUUUACAGUGGAUGGCUUACCUGAGUUUCAUAUCCUUUUUCAAGGGAGCUAAUAAAUGUAUGUGCACGAGCCUUUUUAGCCGCCUCCUCUAUCUGAUCCAGAGUAGCAUCUCGGCCAUAUGCAAUAUUCUCUUUUAUGCUCAAGCUAAGUAAAGCAGGCUCUUGUGUGACCAGACCUAUUUGGCUUCUCAGCCACUCUAAUUUUAGAUUUUUAACAUUUUCCCCAUCAAGUAGAACUUCUCCUGUUUAAGAGAAAACCACAGAUCUAUUCAGAUCAAUAAUAGUCUCCGCUGCAGGCAAGUAACAAAGGCAGAUUUGAAUAAAUUAAUGAUACACCCAAUCACACAUCAUCAUACCUAGUGUAGGAUCAUAAAACCGUUCCAUAAGAGGAAUAAUGCUGCUUUUUCCAGAACCGUUUCUACCAACAAGUGCAACAGCUUUCUUAGCAGGCACAGUGAGGUAAAAUCCACUCAAGAUUGGAAUUUCAGGCCGUGACAAAUAGCUGAAAUAUACAUUCCGAAACUCAAUAUUUCCUUCAACAGCAGACAAAAUAGUUCCUUCUUGAUUAGUCCCAGAUGAUGAACGACUUAUCAUCUCAAAAAGCCUAUAUGCCGCAAUCCUUCCUUGAUCAAAUGAAUAAAAGUUUGUAGCAGCUUGAUUUAAACCCCUGCACAGCACAACAUGAAUAUGAUUAGCAAAUCAAUGUGUAUACUUUUAGAAGAAAGAUACAGGCAGUAAAAGUAGAAUCUGAAGCUUACAGCCCACUCAAAAUAACAGCGAAAAGGGCUGUAAUGAUUUCUCCACCAUUCGCCCUUCCAUGAAUAACAAAGAACCGACCAACCCAAAGUUGCAGAGCACAUGAACAUAUAGCAAGCCCAUAUGUAAAUCCAAGUCCAAGUCCUUGCACAAGACUAAUCAAUAUACCAUAUCUCAGAGUUGCUUGGAGAGAGGUUGCAUAAGAGUAUUUUGCAAGAGUUUCAUUUGUAAAAGCAUACAACGUCCUAAUAUAAGAGACCGCCUGCAAAUUUAGAAGAAACUCAUUUAAGCAUUAGACGGCGACAUAUUCACCAGUAGGGAAUACAUUUCAAAAGAACUUGUACAUAUAAGACAGACUAGUGGUCGUGUAAUUGCCAUGCAUCUAAGUUGCUGCGAUAUAUCGAGUUAUGGAUGCAAAAACGAUUAUGCAUGCAUCCUAACAUAACAAAAAACGAAGCAGUACAGCCGCAUCACGUAACCUAAAAUUCCGACCUAUCUAAAUACAAUCUAUUUAGAUAUCAACCUCUGCACAUCGAAAAUGAACUUCAACGUUCACAAGUCAAAAAUAUUUCAAAGCUUAAAUAUCAUUGUUGGAAACAUUUCAAAGCUUAAUGCUUGCAACAGGAUUCGAACAUAAAAUUAAAGAUCAAUCCUAUCUGUAUAAUGUCCCCCGCAAACCUAGCAAUUAUAGUACCUGUUCAGCAAUGCUGGCUGCUUCAGCAUAAGCAUCUUGAAUGUUCUCCGCAAGUCUGUGGAGAAAUAUAUUUGAUACGCCUCCGGCAGCAACAAUGAAAGGACCAGUGGCUAACGUAAUGAGCGCAAUUUCCCAGCAGUUGACAAAACCGAUAACAAGCCCACUGAUAAAUGUAGCCAUAUUAUGAAUGUAAUUUCCAACCUGCGAAUGUCCAAGAUCUCAAAGAUUAAAGAAAUGCCGGAAGACGUACCAAACCUUGCAUACAUAAAGAUAUUUACAAGCAAACUUGAAACCAAAUUUAGAAGUUAAAACAUACUUUCUCGCUUAGAGCCGACUGAAUGAGAAGGACAUCACUCAGCACUUGGCUUACAAUAUCCCCGUUAUUCCCAUAGGUAUCAAAGAAACUCAUAUCCUGAUUUAGUAGUACUUGGACGUACUUUGACCUGAUCACAGCAGUCUGCCUCUCUCCAGUCAGUAUCCAGCAAGACACCUCUAUAACAAAGAACAAUUAAUAAUGGUUUUAGCUAAUAGCAUCAUUACAGCAAGGUUUUAUAAGUAUAGUGAACCUACCAAUCCAGCCAGAUAUGAAAACACCCCCAGCGAUGUAUACAAUGGUCAGCGAAAGCUGCAAAAAAAGGUAAAGAUUACUUAAGAGGGGGCACAUCAUCCAUAAGCUUAAGCAAGCUGAGCUAACCUCAACAAGGCGAUCAAACUGAUCCUCAGCUCCCCGCCGACCCGAUCCAGUACCGUAAGCAAGAACCUGAACAAUCUUGGCGAAGUAAUGCAAGUAAACAAUCAGCGCAGCUCCAUGAGCAGCAGCAGCCACGGAUCCGAGCACCAUAAGCACCCAAUCGAACCGAUCGGCGCAAGCGAAGAGCUGGGAGAAAGGAACAGCUGCGGGAGGAGGCUCCAUCUCCUCGGGCUCAUCCAUCUCCUCCUCUUCCUCCGCCUGCGUCGCCAUCCCCGCGCCGCCGCCGCCGCCGUUCUCGGCGCUGGGAUCGAGGUAAGGAGAUGGAGACUCGGGAGGCUCGGAGACUUCGGAGACGGGAGUUAAGGGUUGUAUGUGCGGCGGAGACCAGCCGAAUAAGCCCCUGGAAACCAUCAUAGCGACGGGUGGGAGGGGGAGAAGGUCUCUAGGUUUUUGGGGAUUUUUGAUUUCAGUGGAUCUCUCUCUGUUUAAAGGUUGGUUGAGAGGAAGGAGGAGGAGGAAAUAGAUUAAUGUUAUUUUCAUGUGUUACAUAUUACUAAUUAAUAAUAUAACCUUAUAUUAUUUCAGGUUACGCAUUUUUAAUGAUUGUGUAUUAAUUAAUUUUCACCGGGGUGGCUGCUAACGGUCAACUACGGCGACGAGUUUUAGUUUUUUUUUUUCAGGUAUUCUUCGUUUAUUCUCUGCUUGUUUUGUUUUCAUUUUUCUUCUAGAAGAAAAAUGUUGAAAUCAGUAAUUAUAUUAAAAAAAAAAAAUUUUGUUGACAAAAAAAAACUAAUUUUUUUUUUAUCAAAGACUCAUGUAUAAAUCUAGAAAAAUAUUUUCUCAUAAAAUAUUUCAGUCAAAGAAAAAAAUCACAAAAUAAUAUAAAUAAACAUAAUAUUUUAAAUUAUUAAAAAUAAAGUUGUAUGAACUUUUUUUCUAUUAUCUAUAAUUCCUAAAUUUCACACUAAUUCAAUACAAAUCUAGCCUCUUUUAAUUGAACCCUAACCCAGUUCUUUCUCCAGUAUUGCAUUAUUUGCAUAAUGUCUCUAACAGUUGCCAAAAAGAUUUGUAAUAGCACAAAAAGAUCGUUAUUAAAAUUUACUAAACAAAAAAACAGUUUGGGUUCCAACAAAUUUUUGUUGUUGUGUUCACUGUUAAUAUGGUUGAUGUGAGGUAGUUGAAAUUGGUCGAUAAGUAUAUUAUUUCGUCAUAAGUUCUAGAGAAGGUGGUUGUUCGAAUAUCGUUGUCUUCGAAAUUACAUACAUUUCAUAUAUUCGUUUUCCAACCAAACCAUACAUAUAUGAUAUAUCCCGAGAAUACCGUUUUGAUUAUAUACUUUUCUGUUAUAAGUCAAAGUUAAACAAAGAAACCCUAACUAAUACUAAAUUUAUACUAACAUUAAUCAAUAGUUUGCACCCAAAAAAAACAUUAAUCAAUAGUUACGUAUAACUCUUAUAAUAAACGAAGAAAGAAGAAAAAAAUGUAUUUAAAAAAACUUGGAAAGAUGUGCAUGUGGAUUGGUGUGCCGUGAAGAAUUGCAACAAAUAGCUGUCAUCGUUUCUUACCAUUCUCGCUGUCGAAAGCCUAGAAGAGGCAAGCAAGGUGCGGGUGAUGACAGAGAAGGGUGCUACUACAUGUGAGACUAGAAGUACUCAGUGGGGGCAGGGCAAGUAUCAUUGAGGCAGUAUGGAGAGAGACUCAUGUUCUGCCAGUGCAUUUGAUCUUGCUCACUUUUUGUUAAAAAUGUCACAGCUUUUCUAGAUCUUUAGCAAAACUCCACACAUGUUUGAUUAAAGAAAAAGACUAAAUGAGAUAGUAAUCUUUGAACAAAAAAAAAAAAAGAGAUAGUAAUGUUUUUGAAAAGUGACCAAUGAGAAUAAAUAGAACAAGAAGAUGAACCCAUAAUAUAAUGUCUCUUUACGUCACUUAUUGCAUGAAUGCUCUCUUCGGCCCAGUAAUUACGAAGCCCAUUAGAAAACAAAUAUAAUAUUAAACAAAAAUAAGGGCCCAACCGGGUUCGAACCGGUGACCUAUUGAUCUGCAGUCAAUUGCUCUACCACUGAGCUAUGGACCCUUGAUGUCUAAGAUCGUACUGUAAAUCUUAAAUUCAUAAACGCGUAGCAGGCUGAGCUAACCUCGACAAGGAGAUUAACUGCUGCUCAGGUAUCCGUCGACCCGAUUCAGGAGAAGAUGAGGAAGCACAGUAAUACGUAAAAUUUUAAUUUUGUAAUAAUAUUUCAAAAGUUUAUUUUACUCUUCAAAGUAACAGUGCUCGGUUUUCCCGUAAGGAACACUUUUCUAUUUUUUCUAAAAUCAAAACAACAUCGUUACCUUGUUAACGAUAGACUAAUUUAUAUUAGACUAUGUGCGAUAGAAUGUUGAAAUAAUAAUUUUAACAUUUGACUAGGUGCAAUGAUUGGUUUACUUAUGAAUUUAAAAUGAGUUGGCAUUUAACAUGUUGAAAAAAUUAAACACUUUAAAAUUAGAUGAGGAAGAGAGAGAUUGUCGAUAUGGUGUGAUCUCAUUAGCCAAAGAAAAAGUAGUGCUGAUGACUUUUGAUUGUGUUGAAUUUUUUUCUCUCCUACAUUACUAAGGUGCUCUAAAGGUUGUUGAGUUUGCUUUAGUUAUUUUCUCUUGUCUCCGGGUGGUAACUUGUACCACAUGCAGAUGCGUGCCUACAGUGUAUUGAAAAAGGCAUUCGCCUCAGACCCCCGAUUAAUAUGACUGUUUUUAGGGCCCCAAAAUUUAAAAUAAUUUAUAGUCUAGUAGUUUAGACUUAUUUAAGAAAAAAACAUUUCUACGAAAAUUAAUUAACUCACUUUCUGAAUUCAUGUAUUUUUUUUCUAUAUGACAUAAUAUAACAUAUUUACAUAAUAAAUUUAUUCUUUUACAGUAUUAGACUUGUGUAUUUGGUGAAAAUAAUAUAUCAUAUUAGAAAAUUGUUUUCAUUACGGUUGUAAAUAAGUUUAUUUUUAAAACUUGUCUUGGACCCCUAAAACUCUUCGCACGGCACUGACCACACGGAUUUAUGGCUUUGGAAAGAUGCCAUAUCUUUGCUGGCUUUGUGUAGUGAUCUGUUCAAAUCAAAUUCUAAUCUAAUAGAUGACAAAAAGGAUAGCUAUGUUGGUUUCUUACCACUAAUGGUGUUCUAAAACAUUUUCUUUGUAAACAGUUUUCUUCUUAGUGAUCUUUAAACAUCAAGUUUAGAGCUACUAAUUUUCGAUACCGGCCACUUGUUUUAUAAAAUGUUAUGGUUCAGAGGAUGAGCGGCUUCGAUCAUUCCUCAUCUUCAAUCAUUGAUUGUAUAGCUCAAACUUCCCGUGAUCGUAUAGUAUUAUAAUACUAACUUUUUAUAGGAACAGUCAGCUAUAUUUUCUAUCUUUUAAAACUUUCCCUCAUAUCACAAGAAUCAACAAAACAUGUGUGGAAACUGUCGUAGUUGUCUUGUAACCGUUUUUCUAAGAUUAAUAAAACGUGGUAGUCACCAGAGCCUGCUCAACAAAAUUUGGUACACUUGAACGAAAAAAAUAACUAAAAAGUACAAUUAAAAAUUAUUUUUCUACUUUUAAUAGUAAUAGGUCAUGAGAGGUUCGCACUACCCCGCCUUAGAGCACCCCCAUUAGUGAACUUAUGGGGGGGUUCACACAGAUUCCAAAAAAAAAAAAUAUUAAAAUAAGGAAUAGUGAUGAACCUGUCUCUCUCCACCACUUCCCAGUGAACCUGGUUCAUCACUGUAGCGCGGACCCCACGGCACGUGGCGGCCCGCGACUGGUCCGAAAAAAUAAUUUUUUUUUUUUAAAACAAAAAUCAAACCAAAAAAAAAAAUAAUAAAAAAAUGCUUUGUGAACCCUUUUCAUGGGGUUCACUAAUGGGGAUGCUCUUAUUAUCUAAGCCGGCUCUAGUAGUCACUUUGAAAGAAGAAAGAACUAUCAAUGGUUAACCACACUUUUGGCUAGGAUGCUCAACUCUAAACAAACUCAGAUAGAACCGAGAAAAUUAACAGAGAUACAGAAGAAAGGGAUUUUUUUUGUCACAAAAAAAAACAGUAAAACUGAACUAUAGUGAACAUACGUAAUCUCAUCCGUUAACCAACGGUCCAAAACAAGGCCUAAACCGACAAAACUAAAUAAACAAACAAUUUUAAGAACUAGUAGCAAAAAUAAAAUAAAGAACCGUGGAGUAAAAAAAAAAAGAUAGGCAUCUUCUCAAUUCUCAAUGUGUGCGCAUGUAUGUAUACACAUUUUUUUUUGAAACUAGCAUGUAUGUAUGUAUGUAUACACAUCCGUGCAUAAAUACCCGAUUACAUGCACUCACAUUUUGUUCAUCCAGUAACAUUCAAAUCUCAUCAGCUAAAUAAACUCAAAAAGGAUGAAUCCUAUGUUUUACUUCCUUCUUGCCUUAACCGCUGUUUUUGCCGCGAAAACACAAGCCGGUGGACCCAUUUUCGACACUGAUGGUGAUGUCAUAUUCGGCAGCACUAGUUACUAUGUUCUCCCCAUCUUCUGGGGCGCUGGAGGUGGCGGUCUAACUCUCGUCCCCGGCCAUGGCAACCAAUGUCCCCUCUUUGUCGGACAGUACGGUUCAGACCUGAAGAGGGGCAUUCCCGUAAGAUUCUCAAACUGGAGGUCUAGAGUUACGAACGUUCCCGAAUCAGAGAACCUCAACAUCAAGAUGGAUACCGAACCAACGAUCUGCCCGGAUUCACUGUAUUGGUGGGUCACUCCGGCGGUCAUGAGUGACUUUAGAACGUUUUUCAUAACGGCUGGUCCUAAGCCAGAAGCUGGAGAAGAAGAUUCGUCCAGGAGUUUCUUCCAGAUCAUCAAGAAAACUGUAGGACAACUUGACGCUUACAACAUUGUAUUUUGUAAUGACCAUAACGAUUGCGUCGAUGUCGGUGUAAAUACGGACCAAGGUGGCGUUCGGCGUUUGGAUGUAGGCUCUACUACGCCAUUCAAUGUUGUGUUCGAGAAAACUACUAGGACAGCGACUUUAUCCAAGACUAUGUCCAUUAUCUAAGAGAAAUUAAAGACUACAAAAUGAAGAGGAGAAGAGCUAUAACUUACGUCUAAUAAUAAAACUCUUAUCUUAUCUUUUUGUCAGCUUAAUAAAACUCUAUCUAUGUUGGCUGUUUUCUUUGUUCAUCAAUCAUCAUCAUAUCUGGAAGAAAACAUCUUUCCUUUGUUUCUUACUUUCUUUGUUCUUUUUUUUUUUUUAAAUUCUCUCUCUAGUUCAUGUAACUUGGAAACUAAACAGAAACAUUUUCCAUUUUAGAAUAACCACAUCAAAAAAUACGUUAUCUAAGAGCAUGAUGAAUGAUGAUUCUUAGCGGAAUCCCACUCUAAGAACUCCUAUUAAUCAUGCUCUAACACCACUGCACCACAAGGAAGGGGAAAUGCUGUAAACAUUUAAUAUUAAACAGUACCAAAAUGUUAAAAACAAAUACUAUGUUUUACUAGAGAGAGAGAACGAGAGAGAGAGUCAUCUCCACACGAUACCUAGUAGACAAAUAUAGUGUAUUAGUUAUGCAGCACCAGCCAUUUUCCGUCUUGAUAUCAGUGACCUUCCCAGUGCUAGAAUCAAUUCAAUUUUGUGCAAUCAUAAAUGUUGCAAUCACAAACUGGCUAAGCUCAACUACUGUCAGAGGUUCAACCUUUGCAGAGCUCCUUGACAAAGAAGUUUCUGUGUUCCACUAUCAUCUCUGACCAAUAUGGUGAGUAUCCCGUGAGAGUGUGUUAGAUAAGUAAUCUAAUAGAGUGUUUAUGGUUGUAAUCAAGUAGAAAUGAUCAAAAUACUUUUAAAAAUAACUCUCGCAGUUGAACCUUGGCAUUCAGGAACAAGCAGCCUGCAAAUUUAUGGUUGGUUAGUGUUUCUAUAAGCAUCAUGGUGGAACUCCUACAAUCUUGGGAUUAAUGCUUGUUGCAACAAUAAAACGUGGAUCAGCCUGUAAGCCUUCAAUUCUAGUUGUUUGUGAAAUGAUACAACUUGAGAGUCGAACACAUUCGAGGUGAUAGACAGAUCGCUAUUAAGGCUAAAUAGAGGAGGAAAUGCUUAACGUACUUGUUCAAAAAUAUUUUGGCAUCAAUUAUCAAAGUGAAGAGGCCUUUAUAAAAACAUAAUUAUAUAUCAAUUUCAUGGUUGCCAUGACACGGUCCUUGCCUUAUGGAGGGUCACUAACAAUAUUCCUUAUAGCAGUUAGCUGACAAAUAAUGUAUGUGAUAAGAUGGAUAUCUUAAAUAUCUAACAACUUUGAAAGAUGAGUUGGGGAAGCAUCAAAUAAGAGGAUUAUCUGGAAGAUUGAUGUUGGUGUUUGUACUGCAUCUAGAUAUGUCUUAAAUCUCUAUACACCAGUAAAAGUCUAACAUUUACUAUUUUUUAGAUAAGUAUAUAUUUCUACAGGAAAAAAAAAAUCAAGUUUUUGAAGUUGCUAUAAAUAUGGAUCUAAGGAAUUGUAAAGUUAUCCAUCCAUUCACAUAGUAAUAUACAAACCCUAAACUGCUGUUUGCCUCAAUUCGUAUUUACUCUUUACUUUUUUCGAGUUUGAUUCACGUUUGUUCAUAACAGUUUGCUAGGCCAAACAGCUCAUUGUGCUUGCGGAACCGGAACGUUCUUCAUGAUUUGGACUAACCGGUAUAGUUAUCUCAUUUAAUGUGGUUAAAUCAAAUAUUGAAUCGAAUCAUAGAGGAGAGCCAUAUAUCUUGAAGUUCAAAUUUCUCUGGGUCACAUCUAAGUCAUUAAACCUGCUUUUGAAAGAUGCUUGGAGGUGUUCAAAAGGUGGACGUUGACGGUGGUUUGCAUGAGUAUCGCCUGCAAUACAUGAACAAAUGGAAACAUAGUCAACAAGCAAAAUAUAAAGUUUAAUCAUCUCCUAAAAAUGAAAACUUCUGAAAAAAAAAUUGAUGAUCAAUACAUGAAAAAUGUAAAACGAAAUCAACAAACGAAAAUAUAAUCAUCUACCAAAUAUGCGAAAUUAAUAUUCUGUAAAAAAAAAUAGGUGAUUAUGAGUUUUAAGGCCAUAAUUCAGGAGCAUGUCUACGUCCAUAAACUCACCCUUUUUUGAAUCAUCCCUCCUUUUGUUUUUGUAACUUAGUUAAGACUAUUUGUUUAGUUAAGUUGAUUCAUAUUUAGAGGGUAAGCUGGAUAAAUUAUCUAUAUAAAGUGUGUCACUAGUCCGAUGUGUCAUUUGGUGUAGUUGAAAAGAUAAAAUAUGUCAUCUACUGGAAAUCUACUGGAAAAAAAUUUUAUAAACAAUUUUACUAUAAUAAUUUUAAGAGAUUGAUUGGAAGUGGGUGUAGUAACUGUGGAUAGUCAUUUUCAUUCCUACAACUUUUUAAAAACAAUCAUAAUUUACUUUUAAAAAUUGAAUCUAAAGCAAAAAAAGGGAAAAUUAUAAAAGAAAAAAAAAUUAAAGCUACAACUAAAAAUCUAAAAUUUAAAUCUUAAGAGUCAAAAGCAUAAAACCAUAGCCUCAACCAAUCUAACCCUAAGAAUCUUGAAGAUAUAUACAAUAGUUUAAAAUAUUUGCUGUAUGAAUUAAAUUUUAAAGAAUUUGAGUCUUAAUGACACUAAAUUUUGAUAUAAUUAUAUAACUGUUAAAAACCAAAUUUUUUGAAUAACAAAGAAUUGUAUGUCAUUAAAUCUAUCUUAUUAAAACAGAAACAUUGUGACUUUUUCUAGGUGGAUUUUAAGUUGGACUUACUAUUAGAUAUGAUAUAUUUUCUGAUUCUAUUAGUUAACAAUUAAUAUUAGUAAAUUAUUUCCUUAUUCUAUUUUGAUAACUUAAUACCUUAUAUGCAUUUAUUUAUCAGUUGGCCCAUAUGCCUUAUAUUCAACAAAAAAAAAUCUUGCCCAAUCGAUUUCAUAAACAACGUGCAACAAUGUUUAAUUUUAAGAUUUCAUAACCACCAUCCAAUAAGUUUAUGAGAUAAUCACCAUGCAGUAUAUUACUCUGUAACCAAUUAAUUAUAUAUAUAGCCAUACUAUAUGAUAUAUUCAAAAUGGAUUCAAGUCAAACUUCUUAACCCAUUACCCUUUAACCAAUCUAAAUUGGAUUACAUAUCAGAUUAACGGGUUUACCGGCUCGAGAGUAUAAGUUAGAUUUAAAAGUGUUGGUUUAAAUACCAAUUAUUAAAUAGACAAAUUUUUUAUAAACUAAAAAAUAUUUGUAACAUUGUUCAUAGAAUUUUGAAUAAAAUAUUCUGCGUUUCCGAAGCGCGGGUCAUGAUCUAGUAGUCAUUAAAUCAAUAACACUUGUUUUUGGUAAGAACUUUAAAACACGUAUAGUGGUUGCUAUUUAUAAUGAGUAUCUCAUCAUUUAUCUAUCUUAUUAUAACUCAAGUACAAAAUAGAACUAACCCAAUUUUUUUAUCAAAUUUAUUAUAUUAUAUUUUAUUUUAUUUUUACUCAUUUUAACUACUUUAUUUAUUAAUUGAUAUUUCCAAAUAAUUCGACAGCAUUUAUUAUAUAAGUUCAAAAACAUAACUUACCUAUUUUUAAAUGUUUUAUUAUAUCUUUUACAUUUUUAAUACUUCUUAAUUACUUCAGUCUUUACCAUAAUAAUUUGAUAUCAUUUAUUUUACGUGUUAAUCGUAAUAAUUCUACAUGAUUGAAUAAUUUUUUUUUCAAUCGUGAUAAGAAUUCAAACCAGUUAACAAAUAACUAUUUAUUGUUUACAUAAUUAUUUAGAUAUGAGUAUUUAUAUAUUUGUUCGGGUAUGGAUCUUACGGAUAUCGAAUUUUUGGGUUUUGAAAUUAAGCUCCAUUCGGUAUUAUAUAAUUUUCGGGUGGAAUUUGAAUCGGAUUGGUUUUGAUGUAUAUGAACCUAAAAAUGAACAAAUUUUUUUUAUGGAUUUAGAAAUGUUAUUAAACAGUUUAUAAAAAAUAAAUAACAUCAGUGUGAAUGCGCAUGUCAACUUUACUAAGUACUAAAAUUAUUAAAGAAAUGAAUAGUGUUGUACAAUGAUGUUCUUAGAACCCAUCAACCAAUAACCAUUUAAUUUGAAAAUUGUAAUAAUCAUUACAAAUUACAAAUUAAUCUCCAACUAGCACCCCUAAAUGAUGUUUGUUAUUUUUUUUUUUUUUUCAAAAUGUUUCUUUUUUGGGGCUAUGGAGAAUAUAUAUCUGUUCCGGCUUAGUUUCCCUUUUCUGAGUUAUAUAAAACUUUUGAUAUUCGAUAUAGUUCCAGAGAAAAAAACUGUUUCUCAGUUUGUAAUUAUUUAUACAGACUAUAUACACAGUUUAAAAUCUACAUGAUCUAGAAAAGUAUCUCAAUAAAACGAAUGGGCACAUUUAAACUUGGAUCCAGCUACAAGCAGGAAGCUUCUUGAUUCUUGAUCCAUCAUUAGUAUCUCCUAAUCUCAGUUCUUGACCAUAAUGAGAAGGAUUAAGUGGUUCAAGCUUCACCAGCUGACACAAUGCAGCAUUACUUAACCACAAGUUACAAUGCAUUCUUGAACAACUCAAUAGAGCUCCCCACACUCCUACACUUGCUUUCACUCUCAUUCUCCUCACCAUUUCCACUGCUUCACCAAACAAACCAGCCUUCCCCAAAAGAUCAACCAUACACGCGUGAUGUUCAACUUCUGCUUCGAUCUCGUGUCUCUCUUCCAUGUCCUUGAACACUCGUUUUCCUUCUUCAACUAACCCUGCGUGUCUACAAGCUGAGAGAACGCUGAGGAAAGGAACAGAGUCUAGUCUAAGUUCGUUUUCUUGCAUCAACAAGAAGAGCGAGACCGCAGAGCUAGCUAAACCAUUGACUGCGUAAGCGGAUAACAUAGUGUUCCAUGAACCCAUAUCUUUGUUUCUUAUCUCAACAAAGCAUCUCUCCGAAGAUUCAAUCAUUCCACAUUUCGCAUACAUAUCAAGUAGACUGUUUCCUACGGCCGUGUGGGAAGAGUAUCCUAACCUGAUGAGCCUGGCGUGAACACACAUUCCAACUCUCAAGGCUCCUAACUGUGCUGCGGCGUGUAAGAUGUUAACAAAUGUGACUAUAUUUGGCUGAAAAUUCUCAUUCUUCAUCUGACGAAAAGCGGCAAUAGCUUCUUCAGCUUGGCCGUCGAUUAAGUACCCAUUCAUCAUUAUAUUCCAAGAUACAGUACUUUUCUCGAAUCCACACUUGUCAAACAAGGAUUUUGCUGCAGCAAGGGCGUGACAUUUGGUGAACAUGUCGAGCAGAGCAUGUGCCACGUGACAUUCUGAGUCGAACCCAUGCUUUAUAGUUUGCCCGUGGACACAAGAACCCCGAUCAUAGUCGCUACAGAGUGCACACGUUUGAAGCAAACCCACCAUAGUUCCUGAGUCUGGGCGUACUCCAUGUAACAUCAUCUUAUUGUACAAAUCAAAUGCUUUACAGGCAUCACCAAUCUGGGUAUACCCUUGCGCUAGAGCGUUGAAAGCUACAGCAUCUUUAGUUGGCAGUCUUUCAAAAGCUUUUAGCGCAGGUGAAAAGAGACCGCUUUUGGCAUACAUUGAGAUGAUGGCUGUGGCUGUCGCUAACUCCGAGUCAAUAUCAGCCUUUAUAGCAUAGCAAUGUAUGCUUUUGCCUAAUCUAGAGUCGGGUAUCCCUGCACAAGCCGGAAGCACACUUGUCAAAGCCACACCAUUAGGUUUUACGUCUGUUUUCAGCAUAUCCCCGAACAAAGUGAGAGCAUCAUCGUGAUGACCUGCUAGCUCAAACGAAGCAAUCAUUGCAGACCAAGUAACGACAUCUCUAUCUUUAAUAUUUGUGAACAGUUGUUCCGCUAUCUCCAACUCACCACAUUUAGAGUACAUACUCACAAGAGAAGUUGCAACCGAGACCUCAUCCAUCAUCCCUUGCUGUACUACAUAUUCAUGAAUUGCAACCCCCUUCUCUAAGUCCCCUACAUACGCAGCAGCUUGAAGAGCACUAACUACAGCUACCUUACUCACUCUAACAUCAUAGCUCCUCAUGACGUCAAAAAACUCCAAUACCUUAGUGAAGCACCCAUUAUGCGCAUAACCUGCCAUCAUUGUACCCCAAGAAGAGUCAUCCUUGCUCCACACGUCUUCAAAAACACAUUCAGCAGCAUCUAAAUCCGCGCAUUUGCAGUACAUGUCGAUAAAGCCACUAGAGAAACCAGAUGCAAAACCUUUCUUAACCACAAGUCCGUGAAGACAUCUACACACAUCCUUACUCCCUAUCUUCGAAACCGCAGGGAUCAGAUUGUACACACUCACAUGAUCAAUCUCAACACCACUCAAACACAUAUCACGAAACAACCGCAAAGCUCCAACAAAGCACCCAUUUUGAGCCAACCCAGAAACCAUAAUGUUCCAACUAAUAGUAUCCCUCUCAGGCAUUUCAUCAAACACCUCUCUUGCACUAACCAAGUCUCCACCUUUACAGUACAUCUCAACAAGAGCAGUCCCUAUAUAAACAUCAGACUCAAAACCCAUCUCGGAAACCAACUCAUGUAUCCCUAAACCUCUCUCCAAGUCCGAAGCUCCGGUGCAAGCUUUCAAAGCGAAGGCCAAACUGUACUUGUCAGGAACGAUACCUUUCUCCUCUGACAUGUAGCGGAACAACUCGAGAGCUUCUCUGUGCAAACCGGCUCUCGUGUAUCCUCUGAUCAUCGAGUUACACAAAACGACACCUGGGUCUUGUACAGAGUCGAAGAUGAUGCGAGAAAGGUUUGGUCUUUGGAAGAGAGAGUAAGCGUUUAUUAGCUGGUUAUGGGGCUUGAGGCCUGAGACGGUUAAUUUUCCGUGGACUUGGAGGAGACAUUGGAGGGUUUUACAUUCCCGGAGCAUACGGAGGAGCGCGGUGCUGGUAAGUGCCAUUUCACCGGCGACGAUGAUACAACAGAUUUGUGGCGGUAUAAAGGCAAGAAUCCUGUGGGUUCGGUUCGGUUCGUUGGGUGGGUGGGUAAUUCGGUUAGCUUAAGUAUAUGCCGUAUAGAACCGAAACAAAUUUUGAUUCCAAUAUCCGGUUUAGUUUAAUCUGGAUUUUUGGUUUCAGUUAAAUUUGGAAAAUUUUGGUUAUUUUGUUUGGUUCGGAUUGAAAUUUUAGCUAGUUUGUGGUUAGUCCAGUUUAAAAUCUAGUUAAACUCGAUGAGUUGGUUUAAUUAUUAAAAAUCUGAACUAAUUGAUUACCAAACUGAACGGAUAACUAAUUUUUUUUAAAAUAUUGAAUUGAAUUGAACUAUAAAAACCAAAUGGUUUGGUUCAAUUCAUAACCACGGGGCUGGGAAGAUCAUUGCCGUUAAACUUCUCUAAACUUUUAUAAUUUUCAAAGUAAAAAAGAUUAACCUUUUUAAAGGAGUCUAAUUCAUGCCAUGAAGAUGUAAAAACUCAAGCAGAAUAUGAGAGCAUAGUAAUUGAAACGUUAAGUUAUUACCAACAUCAAAAAUCUAGAGCUGUAGUACUGUCAUCACAUGAUAGCCUGUUAAGGUUAUGAUUUUUACAUCUAAUGAAAGAUAGAUUUCAACAAACCUUUCUAUAGCCUCUUUGCCUUUCCUUGCUUUGAUCAGAAGACAUCAAACGUAGUAUCCUCUCUGCAGUAAACUGCUCUCUAUGUAUAUAGUUCAAUGUGUCUUCUCAUGCGUGAUGGAUCUUCCACAUACCAGUUCUGUAUCCUGCAGACAUUAAAGCAAGCUCCCAAAGCAUGUUGGGAAUGCUCAGCAGACUGACUUUAGACCCGGGGAUUUCAGACCAGUUCACAGAGAUCUCAAGCAUUGGAAUGUUAAAACGUUUGCACAAGAACACCAACUCAACAUCAAAGCACCACCUGCGUCAGAGACAGGGAUGCUCUUAUCGAUUGCUUCUACUGCUAGUAUAUCAUCAUCAAAAAUUGUAAAUACCUUUUCAGAUGGACGUUUGUGAAAAGUCUUCUCGCAGCAGCUCUAGUAAACAUCUUGAACCCACACUGAAAAAAAAAAACAAGUCUCUAUGAAAACAGAGUAACUACAUUGACUAGAGAAGCAAACAGCAAAUGAGAUUUUUAGAGAAGUCACCUGCGUAUCUCGAAUUCCAGAACCAGCAGCCAACAAGACCACAAGAUGGAACCCCUUCAUCAAAAAGUUGCGAUACCAUUUCCUCUGAAAUUGACAAAAUGAAGUCAAUUAGCACAUGCAUUUAUAUGUGCAUGGAUCUAUGAUACUGUAUCUAGAACUUUGCAAAACUUAACUGUAGCAAGAGCUUUCUCCUCAAGAUGAGCACGAGAACCAAAAGCUGAUACUUGCACAUCACCAAUUCUGAAAUCCACAUGCUUUAGCGCUGGAUCUCUGAUUGAACUUUCUUCUCUAGCUACUGCAUGAAUCUGAGAGGCUAUAGGAGAUCAGGACAUUUGUAAUACACAGUUUCCAGAUUGUCUGAAAUUUCAAGAGCAGAAACUAAGACAAACCUGAUUUUCAAGUUUUUCAAGGUCUGUUACUUUGGUUGCUCCAUCCGCAUCCAACAUGAGAAGUAGUUCACCACGCGAAUGCAUCAUUCCCUAUUUAAUGCUUUCAAAAAUUUAGAAAGCUUCGGUUAUUUUCGUUUUAUUUCUACGAUGAAAUGGUAAAAGAAAAUACUAUUACUCAGUCACGUAGAAUAAACAGGUUAGAGUUGCUUUCAACUACUACGAGAUGAACUCACAGUUCUUAUAGCUUCUCCUUUCCCUUGAUUCUUCCCAAGGGGUAUAAACCUUAUGUUGUCAACUGAAUACUUUUUGACGAAAUCAAAAGCUACUCUUUUUGUUCCAUCCACACUUCCAUCAUCAACAAUCACCACCUACAAAAGAGAAAACAUUAUAAUACUCUACUUCUGCUUAUGCAUAUAGUAUUGAAAAACGAUGCAGAUUAAUUGAAUGAUUCAGUAUGCUUAGUAAGGUGCAUUAAUUAUACGGACAAAAAACCUUGGAAAGCUCAUUCAUACUCAACCUUAAUUAAUUGAAAAGAGAUGAAAGAAAACUAUAUACCUCAUAAGAAAAACUCUUAUCCCGUGACGCACGACCUUGAAGGUAACUGCAAAUCAUAGGAGAAAUUAACGUCGUGCAUAAGUAUAAGACUUGCCCUGCUGUUUUGCAAACUUGUCACGAAUUGGAACACAAUUCUGACAAAGGAGAAGUGAAAGUAAAUGAAAUUACUCCAUUGUUUCCUCAAGAGCAGCAGGAAGUCUCUGCUCCUCGUUAAAUGCUGGAACUAUUAAUGACAGAUACUUCUCCGCAGGGUCGGAGAUAUGAGGGCAGGGAACCUGAUAGAUAGAGUUUCAAAAGCUCUUAAAAUCUAAACCAGAGAAGACGCGUUUCUCUCUCCAAAUAGAUGAAUCUAAAGCUUCAGAACUCGCAGGCAGUAAAAAGGGAGCUAAUUUCGACACAUAACUCCUUGGAAAAAACUCCUACAUAAUCUCUCGUCUUAAACGUUCUAAAGAAACAGGAAACAAGUGUGCAAGAUCUCGUCUUUUCAAUAGAAAAAUCCCAGUUCCAUUAACUGCAACAACCAGAGUACCAACACAAAGAGAUCUAAUUUCGACACGUAACUAGUCAAGACAAAACUCCUACAUAAUCUUGUCUUAAACGUUAUAGAGAAACAAGAGCCCGAAUCGCCAAACAAAGAUCUCUCUCUCAUUUAGAAAAUCUUAACUGAAACAAGUGGUUUUCAAGUACAAUCGUUCUUAGCCACACACACACCCUAACAGUCAAUCCUAGAUUCUCAGAGUAUAAUCCGAAACGAUAAUGAAUCAGACGAGAUACCUGCUUUAAGGUUGUCGGAUCCUCGAGUGUAGUUACGGUCUCCACAGAACUGGGGAAUAUAAACAAAUCAAAAUCCAGGAUAAGAUACAAGUUAUAGAAGAAAUGGAGUAAGAAAACGUACACGUUACUGUGUCUCCUUCUCCAAGCUUCAAAGACGACGACGGAGAUGAAUCCCCAUAAGGCGAUCAGAAGCAGAGAGAGGCCAAGUUCCGCAACUGUUAACAGAGACUCCAUUGCCGGUGCUCCCUCCCAAGAUUUUCAGAUCUGUUUUUGCUUCACGAGGGAGAGAGAGAGAGAAGAAGGGAGAUGGAAUGAAUCCGUGAAGAAUUAGCAAAGAAAGCUAAAGUUUUAUUGAUUUAAUCCGUGAAGUGAUGAGUGUAAAGGAUUUUGAUUGAUUGUAAGAUAAUUCAAACCCUAAAUUCAAUUUUGACUUUUGAGGUUAAGACAUUUUUGGUUUUUGUGAUUGAGCCCAUUUAGGUUCGGUUUUGGUCGGUUCUGUUUUAAGCGAUGUUUUCUUACUUAACCGAAUUAAACCGACAAUGUGUCCGUUUAACCGUUUUGAACUUGAAAACCAAGUGCAGAUGUGAUUAUGAGUCUCUCAACAUCCAAUCGUCUCCAGAGCAGAGACUUUAUUCGUUAGCAUAUUCAAAUAUAUCGACUGAAUGAGAAGUCAUUGCAGUAUAGCACAUGUAGUUUUUGUUUGUCUGCUGGUAUUAUAAUAUUAUAAAGGAAAAAAGAUAAUAACAGUGAAACAAACAUGCUUAGAAGUUAGAACAAACUCUUUAGUCAAAAAAAAAGUUGGAACAAAUUCUCUCAAAGACAAAAUCAUACAACUGUGGAAAAACAUAAAAGGUACCUGAACGUGUUAUUUUGUAUAUUAUCCUCUUUGUAUAAAGCCUAUAACCUUGGCUACUAUUGUGUAAACCCCCCAUAUAAGAAAAAAAAGACCCAGCCGCAACAACAAACAAAAAAACAAAUAUUACACUCAGAAAAAUUGACUCAAACAGAGCAAAAUUCUUUUGGCCUCAUCGAUAGCCACAUUUGUACAAACACUCAAGGAGCCCCAUGAAUUCUCAUCCUCUCGCGGCUCUUCUUCUUCUUCUUCACGAAUCUCUCUGCCUCUUGUUCGGUAUGAAGAGCAAACUGAAGCCUCUUUAGAUUCUCAGCACACUGUCUGUGCAGUCCCGGUGAGAACAUUCCUGGACCUUCUUGAUUGAUCGGUCCAAGAUGGCGCUUGUACGGUGAAAGCCACUUGGAUUGCAGGUAGUUCAGCGAUCUCCAUGGAGGCAACGGCAUUGAGUUCUGCUUUAAGGAGUAUUUAGCCGCGUCGACCAUUACUUGGAGGAACUGGUUUAGUCUUGCAACCGUUCCUACGUAGACCACUGGGAGUGAUUCCAUUAUCCGCUGGUAUGAAUCCACAGCUCGUGCGAUUUCGAAGUGACUUCUGAAAUCAAUGUCGAUGAUCAAACGGUCGUCUUGGCCAACAGGAGAGUCGCUCAUUAUGAUGUCUAUGUAUUCGUUGUCUCCUGAGAAAACAGCAAAUCACAUCAAUCUUCUGUAUUAAAAUUGUGUAAAAGGCAGAGUUUAGAGGUGGAAACACUUACCACCAGGAACUUUGCCAGUGCCUUGCCAUCUUGCCGAACAAACAGCAGCGUUAUAUCCGGAAAGGCGUAAGAGCUUUGCGAGAUAAAACCUGAUGCAACUGGCGUUACAUGUACCGGACUUCACAGAGUGGAGAUCUUUCUCUUUAAUAGAAAGCAUCAGGGUCCGAACCGCGGAGAGAACCUCGGUUUCGUGCUGAGGCAUUGAGUACUUGAGAAACUGCAGGCAACAGACAACGAAAUUUUAAAUUAACAAAAAGACUUCAACCUUCCGUAGAAAUCGAAAUACUUGGGUCUCAAAAAUGUGAUAUGAAGUAUGCUUCCUACAGAAUAUAGCAACUCUAUACAGAAAAAGCUACCAUUCUAUUUCUAACCAAUUUUUUAUGAUAAAUCUCUGAAAUACUUUAUAACGAGUGGCAAACAAGGACAUAAUAAGCAGCUGAAGACAGCAUGAGAGUAGUUGCAACCAAUCUUUAUGCAAGUGUUCUCCAUUGGAAUGUGUUUAGCAGCUACCUACUACAGAUACCAUCCUAACAAAACUGUAUCUAAAGGCACUAUAAUAAACCAUGUUUAAGCUCAAAACUAUAUCCGCUGUACUAAUUUAUGAAAGUGCUUUCAACCUUCCGUAGAAACUGAAACACUUGGGUCACAAAAAUGUGAUGCUUCCUACAGAAUAUAGCAACUCUGAACAAAAAUGCUACCAGUUAACCAGUCUAUGACAAUCUCUGAAAUAAUUUAUCAGGAGUGGCAAACAGGAACAUAAAUAAGCAGCAGUACACAUUAGCAUGAGAGAGCACAGAGGCAACAAUUCUCUAUGCAAGUGCUAUCCAUUGGAAUGUGAUUAGCAACUAAUGUACAUAUACCAUUCUAACAAAUCCAUGAUGUUCUUUGCAGUACUUUCAUUCGGAAUGGCAUCCACUAUAAGCAGCUUUAUACUUGGAUGCUCCGUUCAAUAAUCAAGAACCAACCAAUCACCGCAAAAUCAAGAAUCUAUAAGGCAUCAUACUAAACCAUAUGUCCAAGCACUACAAAACUAUAUCCAAUUUCUACUCUUCAACAUGAUCCCAAUUCAUACAUCCAAUAAGAUUAUCACCAAAUCGCCUCUACGGUACCUGAAUUUUAUCGGAAAGGUAAGAAGGAUCCGGGAAUCCCGAAUCGCUGUCGCUGCUACACCACGAAUCACCACCACCGCCGCCGCCGCCGCUUCCACCACCUCCCGUCUCGAUAAAAUCCGUGACCAUAAGGCCUAGGUCACAUUCACCGUCGAGGCUAGAAUCUCUCCCUCGUUCCCACCACUCCUCCGCCGGAACAACCCUCAAGUCCAACCCCAUCGUAACCUAAAUCGAGAGCCAACGAAGAAGAAGCUUGGCGAAAAUUUAAACGAUUCGAAUAAAAUGGAAAAAUAGAAAGGAGGUUGAAUUGACUCUCGGCACAGAAAACGCGUUUCGUCCUCUUCUCACGAGUCUUGUGUGAUUGAUUUAUUGUUUAUAUACAAAUGGUAGAGAGAGAGAGAGAGAGAGAGAGAGAGAGAGAGCUUGAAGGUAGAAAAGACCAGGAAGAUAGGCGGAAAGGAAGAUGAAGCCAAGGUGGGUAAAUAUAAUACCACUACACGUGUCGUAAUGACGCUAAUGCCCUUACCGGAUUAAUUAUAUUACCAUUUGAGCUCGUUUUUUCUAGUUGUAACGAACCCAAGGUUAUUAACAGAAACAAAAAAUGAACGUGGACAGAGCCUAGGGUUAUAUUCGUAACGAAAUGCGGAAGUUAUUUUAACAGCGCCCGAGGUUAAAAGGGUAAACCGGUAACUGGAAGUAGCUGGAGCGUAGCGGACAAUCUAGAAGAAACUACUGGGUUUGGCUUGGGGACGAAGUUUAAAGGCGUCUUUUUUAUAAACGUUCUUAAUUAAGCUGACACGGACGAAUUUUAUAUUAAUUAAUACCAUAAUCAUCUUACAUUCUCGAAAACAAAAUUGACCAAAAUCGAUGUUCUUUAUCAAAUAAGAUUGACCUCUAAUUGCUUCUUGAAAUUGGCACAUGCUUUAACUACACAUGUGCCAAUCAUCUUACAUUUUCGAAAACAAAAUUGACCAAAGUCGAUGUUCUUUAUCAAAUAAGAUUGACCUCUAAUUGCUUCUUGAAAUUGGCACAUGCUUUAACUACACAACUCAUUUUCAAAAAAUUGAAAACUAAUAAAACAUAAAAUAAAUAAAAAUAUAUAUAUGAGAAUUAAGAAAAAAACAUCUUAAUGGGCUUUACUUUCACUACAGUUGGGCCUGAAAGGCCUUAUGUGAUAUUUACUUGCGACCAUCCGAGCCAAUUUGGGAAACAUCCAUUCAUGUCUACACAAACCCAACCUUGGGCCAUGUACGACCAAACUUUUUGACCUAUGUGCUCAUAACUUUCUUCCUCUUUUCCAUUCUUGAUCAUUUAAGGAUGGACAAGUAAUCUUCAAUAUCUGAUUAAACAGUACACUUAAGUUUUAAUAUGUUUUGCAAAAACUCUUUUAUAUUUGGCACUUGGAAGAUCAUAUAUGAAAUACCGAUUUCAUACUCAUGAAUUCAGAGGUCAUGCAUGAAUAUUAGAAAAGUUAGUUGAAAUCAACUGGCACAACAAUAAUGUCAAUUUAAUAUUUUUUUUGCACCAACUAAGCAAAUUUUAUAAACUGGGCGACAUCUCUCAAGUCUAAACCAUAUAAAGAAAAAUUCUCACCAAAGAGAAAACAAACGAAAAGUAAAAUAAUUUCUCGUACAUGAUAAUGGGAACAAAUGGUAAUUAACUUUCAGGGAAAAGACGUUUAGCUUAUGUGUGGAAGACAAGACACGGCAAGUCCAAGAAGUACCUCCGUACGUCAAGAUUGUCCAGCCCGUGUCGCGUAAAUAUUUAAGAUCUUCUAUGAUUUGAAUAUGGAUUCUUGUAGAUUAUUUACAAAAAAGUCCAGUUAGUACCAAUCAGACAGGGACUUCCAAAACAAUACGCGACACAUAAUCAAAAACCUACCACCCAAGUCAAACCUAUUUUCCUUUUAAAUACAUUCUUGGUUAUGACUUUCAUGAGAGAGAAGGAAUAAAAAUGAAAGCUUGGGCCUAUUAUUUUGUGUGUAAUAAGAAACUUUGUCAAUCUAGAAUACCGAGUUUUCUUUACUUCCGUACGACAGGAAACAAAAUGAUUUUCGUACAUUACAUCUCGAUUUUCAAAUUAGUGUCGGGUGAUUGGAUUUUACAACACUGAUACAAAAUAAUUCUUAUAGUUUAAGCAAAAAAUUGUGGUACACAUAUUAGUAGAGACCAACCUACAUCUAUCGCGGAACUUUUUUCUGCACAACAAGAAAACAAAGAUAAAAAAACAUUGUUUAAUAGAUGAUGAUAGUUGACACAAAAAAAAAAAAUGGUGUCAAAAGAAAAACAAUUGAAACAUAUUUUAAUUGAAAAUGCAUUUACAAGUAGAGGGUCAGUUCAUGACGGCUAACCAAAUGUUGACUAAAAAUGUGGGAUAUCUUGAAAGAACAAGAAGAGAAGGUUCAAGUCCAUGACUGUAGCUUUGUGGAAUUUCUAUAUGAUCUUAAGUGCAACCCAACGAAAACAUAAAAAAAAUUAUACCCAACAAAGACUAUUAAAAGCCAAAACGAAGUCUUAGCUGAAUUGUACCAAAUUAACUGAUAGAUUAUAGAGUUGAGGUCACAUCCUGAGCCUCAAACUGCGUCAUAUACAACUAUUGUUAAUUUCAAUAAAAAAAAUAUUGUUAACGAGAUCCCAAAUAGUGGAAUCCUAUCAAACCCAUUGAUAACAAUUACAAACUUGAGUGAUAACCAGCUAUCGAACAAAAAAAAAUAUCAGAAAAAAAUCGUCAGAAAUAACGUAAAUCGGUAAAAGAAAAAAAAUCAUUAUAAGAAGCUAAUAAAUUAGAAAUUAAUCAAUUAUACGUAUUUUAUGUUACUUUACUUUACACACACAUGACAUGACAGUGAUGACACACCCGAGACCAAAUAAAUAUUUUGUUACGACAGCAAAUAUAAAGUCUUCACUCGUGUGUUUCUCUGUCGUCCCAUAAAUGGUUAAUUUUCAGAUAUGUAGGUAACAAAAAAAGGCACCCAAAACCAUAAUUUUCUUCUCAAUUUCCACGAAAUAAAAUCAGCUAGGAUAUAUAUAUUACCCGCGAAAGUUAAAAUCAUUAAAGAUAUUGCCAAAACAUUACGUAAGACUUUUUUAAUAGUGGGUCAAGACAUAUCCAGAAUAAUUGGUCUAUACAUUUUCAAAUUUAAGAUUUUUUUUGCACAAACGUAAUUUCUCUUAUUUCAAAAUAAAAUAAAAUAUUAAUUAAAUUGUUUAUAGUUCCUUAAAGUAUUUAGAGCCGGCCUGAUCAUGUCGAUAAAAUAAAAUCGAAUCAUACACCUUUUUAUCUUUUGGCCAAACUAUGUUCAUUUGUUUGACUUUUAUUUCUCAACACAUACAAAAGACAAAUCAACCAAUCCUUAUUCGGUCACCCCCUCGUGCCUCUCAUUAACACCAACCCUGUUUCUCAUUUCGUCACCUCGCCAUCUCUGUUCACAUCUCUCUCUCCCUCUCUUUAACCGCGUGGGUUGUCAAAAGUUUCUAUAAUUCCUCUUAUCCUCUCUGCUCAUAAACCAUACAUAUCCUCCUCAAGAAGCUGAACAAGAGCGCUCAAGAAUCAAGAAAGUGGAGAAAACGCACUUCUUCUUAGCUAAAUGGGUUCUUGCUUCAGCUCUUGUGUCAAAGCCGAUAAUCUUUUUCACAAUGGUACCAUCUCCUUCUUCGUUAUGUUGAUUUUGCUCCAGGUUUGAGUUUGGUUUAACAUAUGUUUGUGUAUGUUUAGGUAAGAGCAGCGAUCUUUACGGUUUAAGCAUCUCAAGCCGGAAAUCAUCGUCCACGGUGGCUGCUGCUCAGAAGACGGAAGGGGAGAUUCUUGAUUCAACCCCUGUCAAGAGCUUCACCUUCAACGAGCUCAAACUCGCCACCAGAAACUUCAGACCGGACAGUGUGAUCGGUGAAGGUGGGUUUGGUUGUGUCUUUAAAGGCUGGUUAGAUGAAACCAGUCUCACUCCGACUAGACCCGGAACCGGUUUAGUCAUCGCUGUUAAAAAGCUUAACCAAGAAGGGUUUCAAGGUCACCGUGAAUGGCUGGUACAUUAGCAUUCAUUUCUUCAAAUUUCAAAACUUGAGAGUUUUAUUAUGUGUGUGAUUGUGUCUGAUUUGUUGUGUUGUGUUGUGUUCUGAUGCAGACGGAGAUUAAUUACUUGGGACAAUUGAGUCACCCCAAUCUAGUGAAACUGGUUGGUUAUUGCUUGGAGGAUGAGCACCAUCUUCUUGUAUAUGAGUUUAUGCAAAAAGGAAGUCUUGAGAACCAUCUAUUCAGAAGUAAGUCCUAUUGAUGAAACAUCUUUGAUAAGUUUAGUAGUAUAAUAGUUUCACUAGUUUUAUUCAUUAGCCUUUUGUAUGCUAAUUAUUUAUACAAAAUGCAUAGCUUAUCUAGAAAUGUCUUUACAUAAUUACAUGAAUAGUAACUUUCUUAAUAACUACAAGAAAAUAUAUUUUAGGCGAUUUUGUAAUAUCCUAACAAUCUUGUUUUCGUAUUGUGUAUUUGUACUAAUGGAAGUGGUUUUGGAGCAGGAGGUACAUAUUUUAAGCCGCUGCCAUGGUUUCUACGGGUCAAGGUUGCGCUUGAUGCAGCAAAGGGACUUGCUUUUCUUCAUAGUGACCCUGUCAAAGUGAUAUACCGAGACAUUAAGGCCUCCAACAUUUUGCUUGACGCUGUAAGGCAGAGAAUCACGUAUUGAAUGAAUUAGAUGAUCUCACUUUUUUACUGAUGACUUUGGGUUCCAUUGACAGGACUACAAUGGGAAGCUUUCUGACUUUGGGCUGGCGAGGGACGGUCCAACGGGUGAUCGAAGCUAUGUUAGUACAAGGGUUAUGGGUACAUAUGGCUAUGCGGCUCCCGAGUAUAUGUCUUCAGGUAUAAAGUCAACUAAAGGUUGAUCAAAUUCUAUAACCGGGUAUAGAUAUAAUGAAUACUUGUUUCAUCUUCCCGAUUUUGUAUACUUUUAGGUCACUUAAAUGCAAGAAGCGAUGUAUACAGUUUCGGUGUUGUGCUUUUGGAGAUUUUGACGGGUAAACAAGCGUUGGACCAUAACAGGCCGGCUAAAGAAGAAAAACUUGUGGAAUGGGCUCGACCGUACCUCACAAGCAAACGCAAGGUGCUCCAAGUAGUGGACGCUCGGCUGGACACGCAGUACCUACCCGAAGAGGCAGUGAGAUUGGCCAGCAUUGCUGUGCAGUGUCUCUCCAUCGAACCCAAGUCACGUCCGACCAUGGACCAAGUGGUCCGUGCCUUGCAACAACUUCAGGACAACUUGGGAAAACCGACUCAGCCCGAUCCGGUUAAGGAUGCCAAGAAACAGGGUCUUAAAACCGGAGCUAAGUUACAAGAAACACGAUUUAAACAAAGACCUUUUGGGAAGCAUUAAGCUGGUUAAUAGUUCAGUGAUGGACGGCCAGGCACUUGUUACUGCAAAUCCAAUACGGUUAUGGACAAACCGUGAAGGUCGAGAUUAAUAAAGGAUACAUAAAAUUUUGCCGGCAACAAGUCACAUACUCAACCUUAGAGAAACAUGUGGUUUUAGCCUUUAGGCUUCCUCACGUGCUAGUCGAAUGAAGUAUAUAUGUGGUAACUUUUUCUUGGUGUGUUGUAACCACUAUUGUAUUUUGUUUGUUCCUCAAAACAUUUGAUGUAGAGAUUUUUCGAAUAUCUCCAGUUUUUGAAUCAACAAUUUUUCAAUGUUACAAGCCAGAAUACUAGAAGUUAAUCAGUGAUGCAAAUGCAAAACAAAUAACACAAAUCCGAAUUUGAGUUUUCUUGGCUAAUGUAACUUAACCACUAGGUAAAGUAUUGUAGGUUGUUUUGGAGAGAAAAUUAUGCAAAAAGCAAUUUACAUGAAGCAAAUGAAAACCUUAUGAAAUAAAUCACAAAUGUAAAACCAAGGCACAACCGGUUUUAAAUAUUGUUCUCACCAUCGUUUUAUGUAAAUCUGUAUUGAGUUAUUAUCAAUUUUAAUUUAUGCGUUUUGGAUUGGGUAAUUACACUCUUGAAUCAAUAGUAGGGAGAAAUCGGGGAGCCGAGGCUUGAACUAUACUACGAACAGAGACCAACGCAAGAGAUGACCGAGCAGAAGAGGACACUGGCAAGACAUAAGCAUGUGAGACGCAACAGCUUUCCACUAAGACAUAAUCGUCGUCACAUCACUACUCUCUCAAGUACUCACUCAGGGCUCUCGUUCUGUUAUGUUCAUGGAUGCCACUUCUUCAUGUGCCUUUACAGGUAAGUAGUUAUACGUUGCCUAUUGUUUACGUUUAUAAGCUUUUCAAAUUAGUAGAUUAGCUUUUCACACAUAGUAAGAACUAAUAAACAAAUUAAAAAUAACUAUGAAUGCAUUCUUGUAUAUAAUUAACAAUUUACAAUAAGUUUGAAUCAAAGGUUAUUCAAAAUCAAAUUAGUUAAUUUUUUUAUAAUUUAUCAUCAUGAAAAUAUUUACAAAAUUUUGACCAAAAAAAGAAAAGAAAAUAUGUACAAAAUUAUAACAUCAAUUUUUUUAAUAAUUUUUCUUUAUCAAGAUAUUUAUCUUUUUAUAAAACGGAUAAAGUAUAUGAUGUAACAAAUUUUAGCUAAAUUCGUAAGUGGAGGAGACAUGUCCGGUUCAUAUCACCAAAAAUAAAAUAGUAAUGAAUAACAAGUAAAGGACCUUGUGGACUUGUGCUACGUUCGCAUCAAAUGCUGUCGGAAAAUACUUUUAUUGUUUACUUUUCAAUUCAUCGGUCAAAAAACCAGUUCCCACUUAUUAAAGGCGUUUUAGACCGUAUUAUUCUUGCUUCUCGUCACAAAAUCUAAGUGGGAACCCUGAGAAUCUAUCACUUUUCACUAACGUGCAUUAGCUACACUCUUCAGUGUCAGAGUACUGUACUACUGUGUCAGAGUAACUGUUUUGCAAAGGCUAGUUAAAAACAAACACGAAGAUUAGUAAAUAGUUUCACAACAUAACCAUGUUUUAGAUUACACGUUACAAGUUGUAACUUACAAGCCAACCAAUGUAAAAUACUUAAGUAGCUGCGGGCUGUUGCAAGAUUUUCUCACAGCCACUUCAGCUAAAUAUAACUCACAAUUAAAACACCAAAAAAAAAACAAAAACAUUAAUAAGAAAAUACACAUAAAAGUCAAAGAUACUAUUCUCCCCUCAAUUAGCGGGGAGAUUUCUUUUGUCUCGAGACUCUCGACCACUUCAAUGUUUAGUUUCUCGAAACUCACUUAGACCCUGAAAUUCUUCCCGACAAAGGUUUGACCAAACUGCCAGUUAGAAGGAACGAUGCUCCAUGAAGUAGAGGUUCUACGGUCACUGCCGGUGACACGGAAAGAAAGUGACUGACCAACCAAAACAGCGUUAGAUUGCCAGUUCUGACCCCAGUUCCUGCUCAGACUCAUCCAACCAGUCUUUGAACCUUUCACGCUCGUCCUCACGAUGUCUCCUGCUCCGGCAACGUUGGUGAUCAGAACCAAGUUGAAGUAACGGUGACCGUUGAUUGUGAACCUUAUUCCUCCUCUCUUUCUGCAUGGCACCCUACAAAAGAAGACCAACAAUUUUACACUCGUUUACUAACUUACUUGCAUGAAUAUAUGGAUUUUUUGUGUAUUAGAGAGCUAAUCUUUUUAGUUAAAUUAAAGCCAAAGUUCGUUAGUUAAAUUAUCUUAAACAAAAUAUUAUAAUGACACAACAAAAGAUUGUUUUUAGUAAGCCCUUUCUAAAAUAAGAUUGUUUCUAACUAAAUUGAGAGUUUACAUUAAUUUUAAGAGGUUUUUAACUUAGAAAUAUGUUAAAUAUUUGGUAUUUUUUAUGUUCUUGUAAUACAAGAUUUUGUACCUGCGGUAUGAGACAGGGACAAUGCCGGCACGGUAUUGAGCAAUCUUGAGGAAAACAGGCAUGGCUAGGUCGAAGUGUUCACGUGGUGGGUUGCACCAUCCACCAUUAUCGCUCGCCUGAGCAAAGUUUGGUGGGCAGAAGUUGGUUGCGGUAAUGAGGAUAGAUGGGCUACCUGAAUGGCACCACUGUGGGUCGUUGGCACAUUUUAGCUCAAAGCAGGCUCCACAACUCAUGCCGUUGUUAAACAGAGCCGUGCUCAAAGCAGCCGUGUUAGUUCCGUAGCCUUGGCUAUAAAGGUUACCGUAACCACAAGCUCCUCCUGUAAAGUCAAAACAGAUUAAAAAUCAUUUUGUUAAGAAUGAACCUUUCUUUUGGUGCAUCUACUCUGUUUUUGUGGACUGACCCAUAGUGCCGGAGGCGUCGCUGCCGCCGUAGAAAGUAGCGUGUGCGUUUUGCCACGCGCCACCGGAGUAGACGCCGGGGAUUCUUGCGUCAGCGAGGUUAAAGAGGAGAUAUGCAGUGAAGAGAAUUGCUAGUUUAAUAACAGCCAUUUUUGUUUGUGUUAAUUUGAGAAGGGGUUUUAAAUUACUCUGAGAGUAAAGAAGAUGAUGAAGAAAGAACAAGAGCGCUUUCUUUCGAGCUUGCGCUCCUGUUAAAGAAGAGUUACGUUUUGUUAAUGGGAGAGAUGAUGGUGAGGACUGAGCAGCAAUUGUGAGGUUCGGUAUUUAUGGAGGGAGGGUAACUCCAAAAUGAGAGAGAGAGAGAUUGAGAAAUAUUAUUGGCUAUCUUUUUAUUGUUUUUGUCAAAAUUAAACUUUAAAAAUUCGAUUACUAUUUCUACGUAAGGUGGAGGUAGGUUUGUAACCGUUUCGUCAUACUUUAUACAUAUAUUUUUAUCUAUUUUAUGUAGCUAGAUAGCAAUGAUACUCAAAUAUCUCAUUAUUUCGGCAAAAUAAAGAGUCUUGAGUUCACUUAUGCGAGGCGUUUCAAACUUAUGAUCGGCAAAAUAAGAAAAUGUAACUCGACGGAAAUUUUGUUUUUCUAUUAAGCUUAACUGUCAUUAGUAUAAUCGGUCACAAAUAUAUUUUUUAUAUAUCUCUUAACAAUUUUUUUUUACCAUUGCCGCUCAAAAAUUCACUUGCAUAGAAAAAUUUGAAAAGAAAAGAUUACUUUAUCAAAUCGAGUUUCAAAAGGAGAAAAAAAUAACAAAUGAACGGCUCCACAUUGCCCGCAUUCAACGGGGUAUCAGUUGUGAAUCACACAGUAUACACACGACCCGAACUCUAUCGGAUCUAUUCAAUCAAUGUUUUAUUUAUGUCAUGAAACUUGUCAAAAGAUCUACAUUAAAUAUCAAAGCUGUAGCACUUCUUAGUUCUCACGGACAAAAGUCAAAGCGUCGUAUAUAGUAUGUUUAUAUAAUAAAAAUUCUCAUAAAACUAAUGUUUAUCUAUGGACUUUAUAAAUAUACUUUGAUAGUUUGAAAACUUAAGAAGUAGUGGAUGAAGCUUUUGUUCUCUUGAAUUCGAGUUCAUUUCAAAAAUAAAUUACAGUUCUUAACUUUUAGUGAUUAGCUUCCGUAGUUUAGGUACAUGAACUUCCACUUUUUUUUCUUCUUGUUGAAAAAAGAACAUGCACACUAACACUCUUUAAUCUUUUUUAAUAAACACACUUUAGUCUUUAUGCAUCGGCGCGCCACCAUCAUCAAAAAGAGCAAUCUAAUAGAAUUGAAAUAUCAUAAGUGCCAACUUCAAGUUAAUAUGAUUAACUUUCAUUAACUUCUACUGUACUUAUAAACAUGAAAAUUAGUAUGUGUGAGAGAUUUUUGUUUAUUUUGUAUCAGUGUGAGAGAGAGAUAAUUGGCAAACGAGGAAAACAGUUAGGGGCGGUGACAGGUUGUCGAGCAGCGUUAAUAUAUGGCGAUGACAAGGCAUAUCUAUGCACCAACCAGAUCUUCUUAUAUCUGCCACUUCAGCCCAAGCAUUCAUACUUGGUAUUUUUUUCUAAUUGAUCUCGGCCACGUGUUGAAAAAUAUACAAUUAUUUUAUCUAAAAAAUAUUAUUAAAAUUUUAAAUUAUAUAAGAUAUUUUAGAUAAAAUAUGCUUAUUAAAACAAUUAUUUUUAUCUAAAAGAUAUUAUUAAAAUUUUAAAUUAAAAAUUACUUAACCAAUUACAAAAUAAAACUAUUAAAUUUGAUUGGUUACAAUUUUGAUAAAGUUAAAGAUACAUAGAAAUAUAAAAACAAUUUAUAUAUUUGAACAUAAAAAAUUUUCUAAACGUUUUAUAUUUUUGGAACGGAGGGAGUAUAACAUCAGCUCAACAAGCUUUUGUCAUAAGAAUACAAAUGCACUUGCAUGUGAACUAAGUAUCUACCACUCAUCUCCCAACAAAUUCCCGUAUUUACAUUUAUUUAGCUUCAGCGUUUAAAAACAAAAUAUUUUUUUUGUCUAAAUAUAAUAUUGGUAUCUAAUCUUCAAAUAUAGCCUAGACUUCUCUCCCACUCCCAAAAAAAAAAAACGAUUUAAGAAUUUAAAUUUGCCGUGUAAUAACCUCAAUCAAGCGUCAUCACAAAUGGUUUAGCAGAAUCAAAUUAAAUCAUAAAACAAGUGCAUCUGUUUUUUUUUUUUUUUGUAACUGAUGUGCAUCUGUUUUUCUUCUUUACUUAUUUUUAUAAACUAGAAAAGUCAUAAAUAUUCUACCGUAGGAGUAUUUUGACUAGAUAAGUUGUUGAUUGUUUGUUCGUCGGGUUCUAUAUUCACAUUGGCAAUGCAGUCGACCAACGAUUUUAGAACAUUUUGUGCCUAUAGUGCCGUGUGAGUCUGAGACUUGUGUGCCUGCUCUCCAUUAGUUAUAACGCGAGUAAUUAAAACGUUUUUUCCAACUUCCAAGAAACUCAAUAUCAGUGGCAUUAACCAACACUGAUGUUUUUGGGGGGCCAAAAUUUACACUCCAACAAUAUAUAUAUGGGCAUAUAUAUUGUAUUCAUCUGAAUAAAACAUUGUGUAUGAGCUUUUGAAUGAUACUUUUCAAAAUGCUUUAAAUGUAAAUUGAUAGGCUUGCUUGAUAAUGACUACUCCCUCCAUUUUUUAAUAUAAGUCGUUGUAGAGAAAUUUUUUUGUUUCAAAUUAUAUGUCGUUUUCGGUUUUCUAUGUAAAAUUUAUUAGUAAUUAAUGUUGUAUGACCAAUGGUAAUAUAUUUUUUAUUUUUCUAUUGGUUGAAUCGUGGUUAGGUAAAUAAUUAAUGAUGUUUUUGUUUAGAAAAUAUAAAAAAUUAAUAGUUUUCUUAAUCUACGUGUAUAGCUGUAAAACGACUUAUAUAAAAAAACGGAGGAAGUAUUAUUAUAUCGAAUGAUAUGAGCAUUGUGAAUAUUCAUAAACAAGCUCACUAAAUACUUAGGCGUAAGAAAUAAGUACGUAUAGAUUGCUAAUUGAGCUACAUUCAAGCAACAUAUAAAAUCAUUAUUAAUUUUUUUUUUUUUUGAAACUAUCAUUAUUAAAUUCUUUUAAUAUGGAAGUAUAAUUGAAUCGUGCAACUAGUUUGUAUAUCCAAUCUCAGCGAGCAAAAGAUAUCAUGAUUAAAAUGCUAUAUUUAUUAUUUCACACCUAUUUUUUGUUGUUUAAUUUUGUUUGCACUUUUUUUGAAGAGCACACAGUCAAUAGUCAGAGUCGUGCUCACCUUAUCAAUUUUGGGGCAUUGGGUUCAGGUCCCUUCUCACAUUAGUACAUUUUGAAGCUUCCAUAUUCAUAAAUCAUAUAAUCAAUAUAUGAUAGUAUGAUAAAAACUAUAAUUAUCUUUUAAUACUUUUUAAUAAUAUGACCAUUUAUGCUUAGUUGUUGUGAAAUUUUAUUGUAUAUUUUUUUUAUUUUGAAUGUCGAAAACAUUUUCUUGUAUAUAAUUUGAGUUUGUAUAUACAAUUUUCAGUUGUAACCAAAAUAUAACUUUUGCCAUUAAUUUUCAUAAAACUGAUUUUUCUUAAAAAUAAUUUUAAAAUAGAAAAUGAAAAAAAAACAAUUUAUUUUCUGAUUUGUAUUAGAAAAAAUUAAUACGUAUAUUUAAAUAUAAAAUAAAUUAUUUUUGUCCUAAGUUCCUAAUAGCCUUCGCACGGCACUGUCAAUAGUAUGUACUACUAAAGAGUGAAUCCUACUCAAAUUUUGAGGACAAAUGGAACGACAUCAUCUCAUACGAGGUGGGCUAUGAAUCAUGAGUUGAUAGAAGUGGCAGAAGGGUAAAUUGUAAUUGCCAAAAAGGUAACUGAGACCACACAUGCUACGCCAUAACCCCAUAGUAGGAACUCAAGAUUUCCCUCGCAACUUCGCAAUACAAACAAAGAGAUCAGCAGAUAAUAACUGCAGUGAAACUCAAAUUAGUUGAAUAAAUAUAUGAAAUUUGAAAUUGAUCGUUGCGCUAAUAUAGUUUCCCUGGCGCACAUUUUUUAAAUCUCUAGUAAGAAAAAGAAACAGAAAUUAAACGUUCAAUAGCGUAAGGGUAAGGGAGUGGACCAUUGCCAAAUUUAUGCUCCCCUUUUUCUUUUUGAGAAAGAUUUUCAUGUCUCCCCUCUGCAUGCAUCGAUGUCUCGCGCUCAUAAUUAUUAGGCUUUACGCUAAAUGUUUUUCACGCAAAGCAAAAUUCGAAUCCUAUAUUUAUUAUGUUUCACCUUUUCUCUUAACAUUUCAUUGGAUUCUUGUACGCUAUUUCACAUUCAUGUGUAUUUAGAGCAAUGUAAAACUCAAUUUUUUUUAAAAAAAUGGAGUUAUUUAUAAUGCAGUUGAGAUUUGUUUCAACUCUAUUCUUUAGUGUUGGAUUGAAAAAUGGAAUAAUGAACAAAAAAAAUAAAAUUAUGUUUUCAUUUAUGGAGUAAAUCAUUUUUACUUUAUCAUGAAGUGAAAAAUAAGUAAAAUUGAAAUAUUUAUUAUUUUAAACUCUAUUUUGAAGUGAAUUAUGGAUGUCGUCUCUCGCUAAAUAUAAUUCCAUUUUAAUUAAAUUUAUGUAUCUGUAUAUUAUAUCUAUAUCUAUAUUUGUAUAUGAAUAUAUGUUUCUUUUAUCAGUUUAUCAUAUCAUCAGAUUUGUUGAUUUGCUCCAGUAAAAACCAUUUCGCACAAGCUUUUUAGCCGAUACAACUUAGUCUACAAGCCAGCCAAUGAUCGUUGAUUAAUAAUGCCAAACUCUUCAUAAGUCAGGGCUGCCUUUCAUGACCAAUUAAUUAGCCUGUAUAAUAUUUUCUCUAAUAGUCGUAGUUUGGUUCUUCAGCGUCAAUGGUGAGAAUAUGUCUUACACGAUUUUUUAUAGUUUUAUUGUAAUACUAGUAACAAGAAUAGAACAACCUUUACUAAUUAGUGGUGUGAUUGGAUAUAUCUAAUAUUGCUGUUAUUUUUAUUACAAAAUAUGAGCAACGACCGACGGUGUUGCUUACGAACAAAGCGAAGUUAUAUAGGACAUACAUUUAUUUGCUUUAACUUUGAUAAAGUACCUAUCAACUAACUUAACCUCCACGACGAUUCGAUAUCUUUAGUUAGGUUCAUUUGUCUCCAUACACGAUUUCUUUAAGUUAAAAUUCUCUUGUUGACCUUUGUUCUCAAAAACUAGCGUCACCUUUGUUCUCAUUUUCUUUUUGUUUGACAUUUUGAAAUAUUAUUUCGUCAACCAACUGAAUAUUUUUGUUAUCUAGUAUCAAUUCAGCCGAAUCAAAUAGUUGAAGAGACAAUUUAGCAAGGGAAUCAAUUAGAAAAAGACAAACUUGGGUGUUGUAGACGAUGCCAAAAGGCCGUGACCGUUCUCCAGACAGGGUAAAUCCGAUGGGUGAUUAUGCAACAUAUUUAAUCAUAGAUGCUAGUAUGACAUGUUUAUUAGUCAGGUUCUAAUAUUUUGGAACGUUGAAUUAUGUAACAUGAGUCGUGCUCGGUGUAGGAAUUCAACUUAGGGUUGUUCUAGCGGAGGCAAAAGAGUAUGUGUUUACGCCAGUUGGGCACUUCAAAGCAUGAGAGGAGUAUGAAUCAAUCGAACAUCAUUUCUGUUGGGUCCUCCUCAAUAGAUUUAAUUAAGGCCCUGAAUAAAUCACUCCAAUGGCUUGCGUUAUUGGGUCAUAUUGUAGGUUUGCUAAAUUAUAGCAAAGAUCAAGUGGCCUGAGACUUAUAUUUUGAAAAAAGUAAUUCAAGUGAUCGAGGAGAGUUUGAGAUAGCCAAUGACUGAUGGGCAAGGUCGGAUCUAAAAUUACAGAGACCAUAAACAUGUUUACCUAAUUAAUUUUUUUUGAUAGUUGAAGGGCAUGAGAUUUAUGUGUAAAUAACUCUUUAAAAUUUGAAGGACAAUGCAAUUAUUUCAUCAAAAUCUGCUGAGAACCGGCCUUACUGAUAGCCAUUUUCAGUUUUGGUCGAGACUUGAGAGGAUGGUCGGUCUUGAGGAAAACUAAAUGAAAUAUUGGUCAGAUUUCCAAAAUUUUUGAAAAAAAUUACACAGACAUAGUCAAAGGUAGUCGAAGUGUAGGUGUAGACUAAACCCCAUAAACAAACGUAACUCUCUCGAUGAUGAUUGUUAGCUAGCAAACUUUUAGGCUCUUUCCUGAACCCCAUAACUAAUAUAUUUCAAAGUGCUAGUCAUCGGGUAACUAUUGGAAACAAAAGACGACACUAAAUGGCUACCUUCGUCAGUAUAUUCCAGUUACUUGAAUGAACAUUCUUUUGAGAAAAAGACCUUAUUCUGUCUAAAUCGACUGCUUGGAUUACAGAUGUGUUAGGAGGCUCGAGAUGUGUUCAACUCAUUAUGAUGUACAAAGUGAUUAUGCUUUUUCAACAUAUAAGUCAAAUGGUCGUAUAUUGGUCUUGAUGAUCCAUCUUAGAUACGAUGUGUGACAUUAAAACACCACGAUUAUGAUCAAAAACCACACAUGGAAGAUAAUGAAUGAGCCAGAAAAUAGGAAACAGAAAACCGCAAUUCAGUGUUCUCUUCUCAUUGACAGAAAGAGUUCAUUAACUUCAUUGACAUACCAAGCUCAAUAAAGCAUAUAACAGGUCUUAACAGAAUAUGGCUAACACUACAAAGGCUGUCUCCAAUUAUCGAGAGCAUCAUCAGAGAUGCGUUGUAAUAACUCUAUUAUUGUCCACGUUUUCUUUCUACUAAAGUGACCACAAAAUAAUUGUUCCCUUUUAAAGAUUCUAGCCUACCAUCAUAUCAUUUGCUCUGUCUGUCGUUCAAAGAUUAUAUAGCUGUACAAUUAUAGAAACUCAAACUGUACUUAGUAGUAACACACAAUAACUACCAAAGAGGUUUAUACCUAAUCAAAUCAAUCUCACUAAACCCUAAAGCUUUUAUGUAUCAAUUUACUCGCAUAGAUUAAAGAAUAUAAUCAUUAUUACACUGAAGAACACAAAAAAAAUGUGAAAAAUUCAAACAAGAGGGUUUUGUCUUUUAAUGUUUUGUUUUUUUUUUUACCUUAAGAUAAAUUAAGCUAAUAGAGCUAAUGUCGUCUCCUUGAAGAAGAAGCAGUCCUGAACAUAGAAAACGACGAACUGCUCCUCCGGGUUGAUCUCGACCCGGACCCCGAUCCAGCAGCUACGGAUCCAGACGACCCGCUGAAACAUCCGAAAAGUCUCAUAAUCCGACCCGCAAACCCGCCGGAUCUCUCUCUACUACCACCACCUCCUUCUCUCCCUCCUCUUCUCGAACCCCACGCCACUCUCCUCGGAAGCCUCUCGUCUCCGAGCCUCCCGCCGUCGACCUCCGUGUACACCACCGGCAUCAUCCUAUCUCCUCCCCUCCAUCCUCCGGGGAUCCUCCCCACCGCGAAUCCUCCGCCCGGUAACCUCCAAAUCGUCAAUCCCGCAGCGGAAUCCUCCUCCUCUUCGUUUACCACCGCUCCGCCGCCGCCGUCAUCCCCCGCCGACGGAAGCUCGUGGCGGCACACCGGACACGAGUUUCGAAUCGCGAGCCAGGGGAGGAUGCAAUCGGGAUGGUAGAUGUGGUUGCACGGCAUCUCCCGGGCGGCGGAUUUCAACUCGAAGUUUUCUUUACAAACGGCGCAGUGAGAUUGAGAAUCCGAUUCGAGAUGGGUCGGGUCGAUCUCGAUCACGGGUAAAGCCUCGACGGCGGAUUUAGAAGCGGGUGGGUUAUCACAUGAGUUGUUGUUGUUGGCUGUGAGUUCGAUCUGAGAGAUCUGAUCUAACAGCCGAUCGAAUCCGGAGCCUAAGAGAAACUCCGUCAUGCUCGGCGGCAACGGUCUGAGGCCUGAGUCGGUGCCGUCGUCGUAGUACAUCUGGAAAGCGGAUUCGGAGGGGUUAGAUCCGCCGCGGAGGACGAUGACGGGGUUGGGAGAGCGGUUGCUUGAGUUGCUUCUUGUGCGGGUGACGGUGGGAGGAGGAGGAGGAGGGCUGUUCUCCGCCGUGUGCAUGGAGGAGGAGGAGGAGGAAGGGGGAGGGAAGCGCGUGGGGCUGCGGUGGUGACGGAGGAAGGAGGAGGGAGGUGUGAAAUCGAGGGAUUGUUGGAUGUGUUCGAGGAAGCCUCCGUCGCAGUCGGGGCAGGAGAUGGAGUCGGAGACCCAGACGAAGCGGCUGCAGCUGUAACACCAGUACGAUCCGGAAGAAGACAUGGUGAGAAUGGAAUCGAAAUCAAAAGAACAUCUGGGAGAGUUUUUGAUUGAUUGACUAAACGGAGAAGAAGAAGAGGAGAGAGAGAGGGGAUGAGGAGGGGAAAGGGACGGUCGUGGUUUGUCUUAACAAGAAACCGUCCAACUCGUGUGUUGUCACGUUCUCUUUCUCAUGUCUCUUCCUCCUCUCUUUUUUUUUUUUUUUUCUUUCUUUAAUCUUUUGGUUGUUUGUUGCUGCUAUUAAACAAAAACUGUUUUUAAUACGUUUUCUUCUUUCUUAUCUCGCGUUACCUUUUUUUAUACAAACUGUUCCAAAACUGAUUAUAGUAAAACAAAAUUUAAAUCGUACAGGUAUGGAAAGUAAAUAAAAUGAUUUAAGAAAGAGUUGAUUACAUUAUAGGACACAUUUAGUCUUUCUCUUACACUAGAAGACACAUACCACAUGUGAGACACUUUUUGGUGGGACCUAAUGUUUAGUUUGACAAAAACGCCCUUGUGAUAAACUUUUACCGAAAAGUUUGUGUUUCUAGUUUAGUUAUUACUUUUUGUCUUUGGUGGUUUGGUUAGUCAAAGAUUUAUUUUUAGGUCGUUUCUUUUGUUGUUUGAAUUUUUUUUAAGAACAAAUAUUUUGGUUAUACAUGUGGAUGUUAAUGUUACUGUGUCCACAGAUAAAAACGAUUUUUGAAAUUUGUGGAUAGUACAUAAUUUUAUUAUAUGCGGAUACUACGUCGAAGUGGGUUGCGCUAUUAUUUUGUAUUUGAACAAAGGUUUUUAUUAUGUUGCGUAUGUGGAUGCCAAUGUGUACACUGAUAAAAAUGGAGGUUUCUUACUAACUUCAAACAUGUCCAGGAAGAAAAAAAAGUGCGAGUGUUGAAAAACAACCACAUACAAAGCCAUCCUCAGAUAUAUCAAUCAACUGGUAGUCAAUACGGUUCACAUGUGGAACCUAACAAAGAGAAAAACAAUCUGAGUCAGAUCAUAUAUGUCGUAUAUAUAAAACCAAUCUUGUUAAAGUUUGUUGUUCUAAGACUUAAAACCCAAUUGUGGGAAGAAAGAAUAUCUUCGAGCUUCUUGGCAGUGAAGAUAUCAAUGGUAACAAAGUGACUUUGAAAAGACUAGUGAAGAAGAUGAAGCUGGUUCUGGCGCUACUAAUACGGAAGGGAAGCCUAUGAUUCCGAUAGUUAACACGGUGGAGAAACCAUGCCCGCAAUUAGAGAUCGAGAUCGAUCGUCAUCACUUUUCUCCAAGAGCUCCUCGUUAAAGUUUGUGGAUGUGUCCUCCUAUAAGUCCAAAACUCCAUAGCUUAAUGUAUAUUACAUAGCAGGAGAUAGAUAAACAGAGAGUUAGAAAGCUGACCAACUUUAGCUCCUUUCUCAACGACGCAUAUUGACAGAUCAGUGUUCUUCUCCUGACAUAGCUGCUUCGAUCGUAUUGCAGCAGGUGGACCAGCCUGUCCAGCUCCAAUGUUCAGAACGUCAAACUCUAUAGCCCUCGACUUUGAGCUGGCAGCUCGCGACUUUCGACGAAACGGAAUAAGGAUACCCAGAUCGAGAAAGGAGUAGAUUAGCAGGGUGUGAGGUCCUUGGAGAAGGAGGAGGAGACUGAAGCUUUAACAUCAAACAACUCGUUUGGAGUAGUCGUGUGAACAAUACGGGGCCAAUUAAGAUUCGUGGACGGAUGAUGCAUGGAUGAGUGAUGUGUGGACGUUUGUUGUGUGGACGGGUGAUGCGUGGACGGGUGAUGUGUGAACGUAAAGAUCGUCACUUUCCUAGGGGUUGUCUUUGUGACAGAAUCUCCGCCGUAAAGAUCGGUACUUUCCUCGUCUCCACCACCAGGUUUGGUCUCAGGCCCAUUGUCCAUGGCUUCCUCUCACUUAUAAUGAACCUGAGAAAAUACAAACCUCGUCACUGGUACAGAUCUCGCUCGCUGGAUCUCCUAAACCUCUCUCUGAUCGUGCUUCUGAAUCCUCAUAUUCUCUCAUGGGAACAACCAUUCCACUGUCAAUCUAACUUCUUCUUGUCCUACAUCUUUGUAUUUUUUGUUGUUGUUGUAAUUGUCUUCUCUGUUCUCUUCUUAUUAUCCAAGAUAUGGUUCAUCUAGGAUUCUAGGGAAGAUAAAGAUUUGAUGGAAGAAGCACUGGCAUUUUCGCAAACACUUGGCAGAGCGCUUUAAGAGCACUAAGACCACUGAAUCCACCUCUCAAAACCAGAUUUUGAGCGUAAGCGAAAGAUCUGCAGCAACUCACGACAUCAAGAUCACAAUCAGAUCGAGACUCUUAAUAGACACAUAUACUCAAAUCGAGACUUACACGCGACUGGUAGACUGAAAGGAAGAGUCGGAAUCCCCAUGAAUUGGGGACACAGCUCCGAUCAAGAAUCGCCGCUGUGUCAAUACCGGAUAAAAUUUAACACUGAUUCUUCUGGGACUAGAGCCAUCAACUGGGUGUAGAAGGAAGUGACGAUCCCUGAAAACUUGAUGCAGAAAACAAUGGAGGUGGGCACUGCCAUAACUUUGCUUACCACAUACUAGUGAGAGUUGAAGGAGGGAGAGAGAUGUAUGAUGGAUCUCUCAUCUCUCAUAAAGCUAACGCCUUUAAACAAAAAUUUUAUAGAAAAUAUUAUAUUUGCGUCUAGAAAAUAAUUUCUGAGUUGAAACUUAAAAGAAGGGUAAGAUGGACAAUAAACACUCAGAAUGUGUCUCUCAAGUGGAAUGUGACUUGGGAUGAAAUUGUAAAGUGAUAAAGUGCCUUAGAGAGUAAAAAUUUCUUUAAGAAAUUAGCGAUGAUUUGAUGGCAUAGCUAAACUCCACAUUAGAAUCAAGAGAUCUGAGGUGUAUUAAUUAAAGAAUAAUGAAAAUCAUAGGUUAUGACAUAAUUUAAUAAGAGAGUAAUGAGAAUUUCCUAAGUAAGCCCAUUACAUUUAAAAUAAGAGCCCAUUAAAACUUUUUAACUUUGCCUCAAAAGUCUUUUCUUACACUUCUCGGUCUUGCAGUUUUAUUUUUUCUAAGAGCAAUCUCAACCCUUUGUUAUUUUCACCUCUAUAAUAGCAUUUAUAGGUUAAAUUGUUCCAAACCACCUCUAUUUCUUCCUCUAUAAUAGAGAUCGAUCUCUAUUUUUUACUCUAUUUAUAAAGGAAGAAAUAGCAUUCCUCUAUUUUUUACUCUAUAUUUUAGAGAUUGCUAUUUUAGGGGAAUACAUUGGAGCAUAUCUCACCUCUAUUAUAGAGUUCCCCUAUUUUAGAGGUGAAAAUAGCAAAAUACAUUGGAAAUGGUCUAAUUACUAGGUUCGGGCCUAGUCCCUCCAUGCCCGAAACUACAACAUGUGAUAUUAGUUCUGUCAUAUCAGUCACUCAAAUUGGGACUUCUGGGUCGGUAUUACAGGUUCGGGUAGAAGCCUAGUCGCUCCAUGCGCAUGCCCGCAUGUAAUAUUAGUUCUGUCACAUCAAGUCACUCAAACUGGGACCUCUAACACAAUGGUCAGAAUCUUUUCCAAUUGUGUUAAUGACUUCUGGUUCGUUCGGUUUUAUCAGUUUUGGAGCGAUUUGAUCAUUUGCAGGUACGCUUCACAACGUCUUCUUCUUCGUUGCAGAUUCUGUUUUUUUUUUUCCCUUGGUCAAAGCAGAUUCUGUCUUUCUUCUCUGAAUUUUGAUAGGUUACCUGAAUAAUAUGCAUACAGAUUAGUUUUGAUUAAAUGGCUCAUAAUCAUCAUAUGCACUCUGCACUUUGAUUCAUGGAAAUCGAAUCAUUCUCUUUCACAUCACUAUCCUUCUUUUGUAAUAUAGAAAUUUCUCACCGAUCUAUAAUUGCAUCAGACCAUUCUAGAAACCUUUCUUUUGUGCAUGUUCAUCGUGAUUCUCUUUAGCUUCAUUGAUUCUUCUUUACUUUGAAAUGCAUUACAUUAACUUGUUUCGAGUUAUGUUCAUACAUUUUCAUCAUCAUCGUAUGCACUCAUGCUUUACCUUGUAAAUGUAGAUACAUUUUCUGGCUAAGUAGUUUGGGAGUGAUAGAAGAGUGCAGUUGAUGCACAUUGAAAGAAGAAACGUGAAAGAUAUUAAGGAAAAAGUGCCACAUCAAAGUUGUAAGAGAUAGUAACAGCUUAUUGUCAGUUGGUUUUGAAUUUAAAUUUCAUCAAAUUUAAUAUGGAACAACUCAACCUGAUCUACAAUCGAUUCGUCAAAUAUUCCGAGACUAUGGCCAAAGAACUAUAGUUGGAAUGCCAUCUACUUAAUAAAGCAAACAAAAAGUUGAGAAAUGGUUUAUGACAAGGGAAUCUUACAAUAUUAAUGUUUGCACAUGAUCACAAAAAAAGAGAGUACAUGAAGCAAUCCAAAAUUACACAAAAGGCAACAAAAAAGAGAGACAGUAGUAGAAACACAGCAACUUAACAAAGGGGAAACUCAAAAGUUGUAGACACAAGUUCCAUCAUCACUUCUAGCUGUUGGAUCAAAGUUGUCGGCUUGAGGAUCAGUACACCCUUCUGGAACAGGAAGGUUCACUUGCUGUGCUGCUUUACCUGCAAGGCAAGUUACACCCAUUUCAAAAACCCUAAUUCCAUUUUUAUGCUCUCGUUCAAAAACGAAAAACAAAGGAGUUCAAACCUCGAGUUCUAACCAUAGAAAGUUCCGCGGCCAAUGGCGUCCGCGUUUGCGUCUCCCAAGGCAGCCUCGUUAAGGUAUUGGUCAGCAAGUUGGACUCUCUUGACGUUCUCUUGCUCCAUCACAAGCAUGUUUCCGUACUCCAUAAGCUUCUCAAGAGUCAUCGCUGGUUGCUCGAACACUGGAGGACCUUCCCUAGAGUUCACCAGCCUCUUUCCUAUCUUCUCAACUCCAAGUCCCUCAACGAACUUCCUCACUUCAUCAUCGUACACUCUCGCCCUCAAUGCACCAAAGAAAUCUAUCCACACAAUAAAAGAAUCAGAAUCACAUGAAAAAAAGACAAUAAUAACAAGUACUCGUGAUCAUCUUUAUUACCGAUAGAUUGUCCAGGGAACUGGUCAACAAGCGUGACAAUGUCUUCAUCCUUAACGUUAUCAGUCCUGAAGAUACCCUUGCAGACACCAAUACGGUCCUCACGUGUGGGUGCCCAGUAGAACUUCUCCAUACGCCCGUCACGGAUGAGAGGUGCGUAGAGAGUGGAGAAAUCGUUACCGGUGACGAUGAUGGGGACACGUGCGUUUUCUUCCUUGUUGUACAUUCCCGGGAGCUGGACGUUGGUUGGGUUAUCAGCAAUGUUCAUGAGGGUUGCGUUAACCAUCUGGUUGUUGACUGUGUACUGAGUAGUACCACCCAUACGACCAGCACCAGCGUCGAGAUCGUUGAUGAAUAGACAACACAUUUUUCCCUUUUUGAUCAUGUCUGCUGCUUCACGGUACCUUUGACGGAUCAGCUUGGCUGGUUCUCCUGCGUUUCCACUCUCAAGCUCUCCAGCACUCAUCAUGAUUGGGCUGCAAAAAAGGAUUUAACCAUUUUAAUAUUUUAGUUAUUAUUAUUGUCAAAUUCACUUUUUUUUUAUUGUUAUUGAUUUUGUUUUUUGUUUUUUUUUUGUAACAUGUUAUUGAUUUUUGUUAUCAUUUGGUUUACUCAAACAUUCUAUUUUUCUAUUGAAUUUUCAAGACAAAUAUAAAUUCUAACUUUGUGGGAUAAAAUGUGACUGGAACCUGUUAUAUAGAUUAGAGAGAGAGAAGACUCACUUGAUG
rnacentral:lncRNA from 1 species